rnacentral:lncRNA from 1 species
GUAAUUGCACUAGCACGCACGAUGUAUAACCAAGAAAUCAACCGAGAUAAAUAAGCAUUAGGAGCACGUAGGCAUAUACAUUAGACGAUGAGUUCCUCCUCCUUGUGGGUCUCGAUGACGACGUCGGAGGUGGGGUAGGCGGCGCAGGUGAGCACCCACCCGGCGGCGACCUGGUCGUCGUCGAGGAAGCUCUGGUCGGACUGGUCGAUGCUGCCGGAGACGAGCUUGCCGGCGCAGGAGGAGCAGGAGCCGGCGCGGCACGAGUAGGGCAGCUCGAUCCCUUCCUCCUCGGCGUGGUCGAGGAUGUAGACGUCGUCGGGCACCUGGAGCUCCACCUCGCCGUCGGGAGUGAUGAGCUUGACGUUGUAGGUCGCCUGCGCGCGCAGCCUGGCUCCGCGGGGAGCCUUGGCCGGCAGCGGGACGGUGGACGGCGCCGGCGCCGGGGCCGCGCGGAGGGCGAAGCAGGCAGGCGCGCGGAGGCUGCUGAGCACGGUGGCCAUUGCGGACUUGCGGCGUGUGUAGUGAAGGGAGAGCUUGGAGCUGGAGGAGUUGGAGCUAUUAGCAGAGGCGAGCAGCAGCUAAUGAUGAUAGCUUAUAGGUAGCUAAAAGCGAGAUGAGGUGAAAUGAAGGGUCGGGGUGGGUGUAGCGUGAAGGGGAGGGCGGGAGGCUUAUCUUCUUGGUCGGGACCAGGACGACAUCCGUGGGGGAAAUCAACUACUCGAAAGUCGAAAUACAGCAGGGCCACACGCUAGACUCCAAACGUCAUCGAGAAUUCUCCGACCAUGAAUUUCACCAUGAAAUUCGCUAGUAAAAAUAUAACUUCUCCUCACCGAUCACAUUUGAAUCCGGUACUAAUGUUAAAAUUUGCCGGAGGUCCUUUUGUACCGAGUGGGGUUUCCAAUUGGUACUAAAGUCCCCUUUUAAUGGUUGGAAACCCCACCCAAUACUAAAGCCCCGUCUGCCGCCGGCCCUCCCCCACUCACACGCGCCUGCAUUAUCUCCUCAUCCAGUACACUUCUCCUUCUCUUCUCUCAUACUCCCUCUCCUCUUCCUAUCCUCUACUCUCCUCCCUCACACUCCCUCUCCCAGAUCUGCCUCUCCUCCGCUCGCCCCUCACCGACGAUGAGGAGUGGCGGCGUCGGGCCGGGGCGGCUGCGACGACGCAGGAGGGGCGCGGCAGCGGGAGCAGUGGGGUGGAGCAGGGAGCGGAGAGGAGGCGGUGAUGGGAGAGUGCAGCAGAGGAGGGGGAGGAGGAGGAGGAGGCGGAGGGGGCUGGCGGCGGGCGGAGGGAGGCCGGGACCGGCGGGGGAGGGGGGGGUUCUUCUUUUUUAAUUUUUUUAACACCCUCUAGUACAAGUUAUCUCAAUCGGUACUAGAGGAUCCCCCUCGAGUACAGGAUUGCUACCAGUUGCAGAAUCGGUACUAGAGGGGGGUUGGGAACCGACAAUAGAGGUUAUUUUUUAUAGUGAUUACUCAAAAUAGUGACAGAGAAAGUAGUAUUCAUUGUAUUCUCACGUACUCCCUCCGUUUAUUUUUAUAAGGCGUGAUAUGGCAUGGCACGUACUCCCAAAUUACACUUUGAUCAUUAAUUUAUCUUAUAUUAUAUUGUUUAUGACUAUAAACUUAUAAUCAUUGGAGAAUACAUUUGAUUGCAAAUCCAACCAUUUCAAAUUUAUACCAUAAAAAUAAAAAAAUAUUGGUUAAAUUAUUAGUCAAAGAUAGCAAACUUUUACAUUUGAUAUGCGCAUACGCCUUAUAUACAAACAUGAACGGAAGGAGUAGAAAAUAGACUGUGUGCGCCAGUCACUGCCCAUUGGUUGGUUGAGCGUGGCGUGUGGAGGCCACGGCCUCGAUCCAGGGCAUAUGCUUCUUUCGGUCCUUAGCAGUUGGCGGUAUCACGUGGUUCUCGUCAAUUUUUGUGUAUCUGGCCAGAGAUCUAAAUUACAUGUAAUUUUACAUGUAUGAAAAAUUAGUCAGUUCGCUGGUUAGCUUUCCAUGCCAACCAUGGAUCUCUUUUCUCUUUUCUUUUCUUUCUCUUCUUUUCUUCUCUCCCUGGUGAUGAGUGAUGGGUGGGUGGGUGGUCAGCAAAAACUAGCGAGCCUGCUGCAAAAACUAUGGCAUGGAAAGCUAACCAUCGAUAUAGUAUCAGUAUAAAAACUAGUGCCUGCUCCGUUAGAUUAGGUGGAAAACUCUAGUCAGUUCGCUACUGAACUACGGAUUGAUAAACUUUAGAUGGAAUACUCUAAGGAAAAAGUUACGAUAAUCCGUGCGCUUGCGAUUCACAAAUUGAUGCGCUAACUGCCGCCAACAAGCUUUUCCGGUGCUGUUGCCAGGGAUCAGCAACUCGAACCCUAGGGUGAGACUAACUCUAAUUUUUCUAUUGCAUAUCCUGUUUUUCUUGUUUGCGUCCUUAAAAGCAAGUAAAUACUAGACGUCAUAUAAUCGAACAUGGACUUUCAAGUCUCAAUUCACUCCGAUAAGAUGAUAACAACAUCGAGCUCAACUCUUUAGCAGUAGGUGAUAACUUGUUAGUGGCCCAACAUCUGUUAUUGAGUCCACACCAAUGAACACAAUACAAAUGCUUAUAAGCAAGUGGCACAUAAUCUGAGAUGGGCUUAGCAAGUGGUAAAACCAUGGUGUUGGGAUAUGAGGAUGUCCAGUUAACAGAGGUGAAAAACUAAUCAAGUUGCUCAAGUAAAGGAUCUUGCUGCAUGUUGCUCCUGGUAAAAGUCCUUCACUUAAUUGGUAAUUCAAUGAGGCCCAGCUGCCCAAUGACGUCAUUAAAUAGCAAGGUAUCCAGAAAAUUACCACCCAAUUUGUUCAUGUCAUCCAGAGAUAUGUAGAAAUUGAAAUCCCCUAGGAAGAUCCAAUUAUCCUCGGCCUGGUAAGACAAGGGGUGGAGGAAGGUUGUGAGCGUGAUACUAAAGGGUGCUUGUGUUGGUGUGUGUGGGGGGGGGGGAGGAUGGGGAUAGUGUCGCAUCUCAAAUGAGCUAGUCCUCUCAUUUGACAACCUCAGCCAUCAUAUUUGGAUCCAGUGAUUGCUUUCUUUUCUAUCUCCUCUCAAUCUGCAUUUUGUCUUCCUUGUAACUUCUCAGUUCUCAUGACAUUCUCCCAUAACCAGCACUUCUCAGUUCUCACAACAUUUCCCCAUGACUAGCACCUCCCGUUGGGCAUCUCCUCCCAACCAGCCUAACGGUAUCCCUCAUUGUCCCACCUUCCAGCGUGUUGUCUGCAGUCGCUACUAGCUUAGGCUAGGUUGCAGCCCUAACUGAGCUUUCUUUAAAGACCAGGGGACUACCUCCAAAACACUAUAUUCCAAAGGAAAUUCACCGUGUUGUAUGUCAAUUGAAUCUUGCUUCACUUCCAGGAGAUUGAGAUACGAGAAGUAUUGUCAAAUUAAUCCAUUUUGAAUAGGGUUCGACGAAUAGUGACAUGAAGGGGGACUAUGCACAUGGUAGGGGCAAAGGAACUCACAAGCUUUGAUAUGAGGUAGGGUUCGACGAAUAGUGACAUGGAGGGGGACUAUGCACCUGGUAGGGGUAAAGGAACUCUCAAGCUUUGAGAUGAGGUAGGCUAAGGCAAGAGGCGGAGAGAGGGUGCGAGGGGUGCUUGCGAUUGUGUGGUGUGUGGGAGGAUGGGGGUUGGCACAUGUUGAGGAAGUUUUGUAUACAUGUUAUAAUUUGUUGGUUUGGGCCUUAGGUUUCUAUCCAAGAGCAACAAAAAAUUUUGAACAAACAUUUCAAAAAUAAAUUAAAUUUGAAUAACUCUGUCACACACAUAUAUCCCCGUUGAUCUUGGUGGUCACGAUAAACUAGCUAGCCAAGUCCACACAUGCUUUCUUUUGAAUCAUUUUAUAGCAUGGCAUAACAAAUAGCAUCAGAUUCAGACGACUACUCAAGCUGCAUUUCCGUAGCACGUUUAGUCAGGUACAUACGUACACACACACACACAGAUAUAUAGUAUAUAUAUGUAUUGGUUGUACAAAAAUAAAGAGGAAAAACGUUAUUAAUUACUUGAGCGAAGCCUAUCAUGCAUCCGCAGUAAAAAUGAAUGAUACAGAGACCAGCAAUAAGCAGAGUAACAAACGAUGGAGAAGCUGCUGAUGCCGAUGCUUAAUUGCAAGGUCUCAUGGUGACACUGACAUGCAUGAUACAAGAAAGGGAAUUGUCCGGCGUCGUCAAACUCGAUCUCUUGCAAGAGCAAGACAGAUACUAGAUAUAGCAAGCGCGUAGCAGGUAGUGAUCGAGCUUCUUAGAUGAGCUCCUCCUCCUUGUGCGUCUCGAUGACGACGUCGGAGGUGGGGUAGGCGUGGCAGGUGAGCACCCACCCGGCGGCGACCUGGCCGUCGUCGAGGAAGCUCUGGUCGGACUGGUCGACGGAGCCGGAGACGACCUUGCCGGCGCAGGAGGAGCAGGAGCCGGCGCGGCACGAGUAGGGCAGGUCGAUCCCAUCCUCCUCGGCCUGGUCGAGGAUGUAGACGUCGUCGGGCACCUGGAGCUCCACCUCGCCGUCGGGGGUGAUGAGCUUGACGUUGUAGGUGGCCUGCGCGCGCAGCCUGGCGCCGCGGGCGACCUUGGCCGGCAGCGCGACGGUGGCCGGCGCCGGCGCCGGGGCGGCGCGGACGGAGAAGGCCGGCGCGCGGAGGCUGCUGAGGGCGGUGGCCAUUAUUGUGCUUUGUGGUUGCUAGGUAGCUGCAGCAGCUGAAGCAAUGGAAGAAUCGGCCACACACACCUAGGGAUUAGGGAAGGAAUGAAGGAGCAAUGGAGGGGCGGGUGGCCGGCCAGCGAUUUAUCGAUAGAGAGGAAGGAGGGGGUGGGGUGCCACGUGGCGGGCGGCGAGUGGGCGGCUUAUCUGCGGCGGGAUCGCCGGAGCAAGGAGGUUCACACGCUGCUCAUCGUCAUCGAUGGGCGUGUGGAGGCCACGCAUACAGAUCGAGCAAGAACAUGUUGGUGCUCUGAGCUAGAACAGUGCAAUGUGCUACUGUCCACACAUUUGGCUGUGGUUGGUUUUUGGCCGGAUUGAGGUUUUAAGGUCACGGGAUCACUGCGAUGCAGAGGCCACUAGCUUGCUUGCGCCUUUGAUGGGUGGUUUGUGGCCAUCAUUGUUGGCAGAGUUCUUUGAUUGUGAACACACAUCUAAUAAAGUGCUAUCUAUCACACCAAUCAUCCUAACUUGUUUCUUCUAAACACAUUAAUUACAGAUGUACAGACACAUAUACAUGUACGCACAUACAGCUUCAUUAUCACAUAUUGGCAUGUCAAGUCUUGUGAUUGAAAAGGCCACGCUUGCCACAUUCCUAAAAUAAACUCAGUAAAAUGCAAGUAAAUCUGCUAAGCCUAGAAUUUAGAAUAGAAUUUAGCGGCAGCUGGUUAGACUCAUUGUGGUGGAACCUACCCAUCCGGAUUCGAUCCGUUAACUCGGCACAGGCGUUCAUAUUUUCUUGAAUUUAGGAAGAAAUUGAUACUAUACUUUCAGGGCUACGUGCUUGUCGAUAGUGAGUUGUUAGUCUAUCCAAGGUGCUCAUAAGGGUAGGAGUACAUGUGUAUAUAUGUAGAGGUAAGUAUGUGUGCGUGUAUGUGAGCAUUUGCAUCUGUACUUUACUAUUCGAAUUUUUUUUUUAUAGUCCAGCACGCUGAGGGGUGUUUCAACUCAAAUUUGAUGUUUAUUACGAUGUUGGGCUGGGGAAACGUGCUGCUUUCCUUUUGUGGGCUUUUAGUACUGGCAUCGGCGGCGGCGCGUGAAUGUCUAAUUAUUCAAAAAAUUAGACAUCACAUCCCAAAUGAUGGCCCAGCCCAGUACGUGCCUACCCGGCCUGUCAGUUUGAAGCCAAGCACGUAUGCAGUAUGAACGUGCUGGAUGCCAUUCCUGUCUGCUGCUGUUUGCUGCUGGUUCAGGUUGGAGGUUGUUGGUCAAUGAAAAUGAGAGACAACGCGGAGAAGAAAUCAACAACGCGUUAUGCAUUCGAUGGAUGCAUGUCGUCGUUCUUGUAAUUAACAUUGUUUGACUUGAUAUAAUUUUUGUAGCUUUUUUAAUAAUGAAUAGUAAUUCCAGCUUCGGUCCCCUUCGAAGAGGAGCUUCGGUCCAAAUUUAUUACAGAACGUAGCACACUGCUACUUGUCGGGAGGAGUUUCAGUCCAAAUUUAUUACACAACGUAGCACACUACUACUUAUCACAACAGGUUCAGACAAAUGUAAACCACUCAAAAAUCAGUUGUUAAAUUGAAGGACUAUCCAUUGGAACUAAAAAACGCAGUGCUGCCAUUUCCAAAGAACAACAUGCCAUUCACUGGAACUAAAGAAACGCAGUGCUGCUAUUUCCAAAGAACGGCAUGCCGAAACAACGGAUUCUUGGUCAUUCUCACUUUGCUGCAACUCGAGGCCAAUGCGUUCCCCUGAAUAGUACAUGAAAAAAAAAGUUUUCGGUCAGCAUUUAUAAAAACCACCUCAUUUCUAGUCAACCAUAUCGCCCAGCAUAAAGCUGCACUCCCCAUCAAUAAAUAAUGAUUUGGCUUGUGUCCCCCUUGUUUAGCCCAUUGGUUAAACAUAUUGCUUAUAUUCAUCGGUGGAGAUAAGCCAAAUACCAUAUGAACAGCACGUCGGAGAAGUUUGGCAUAAUGACACUUGAAGAAAACAUGGUCGAUGGACUCCACUGAACUACAAAAGCUACAAUAUUUGUUCCCAUUCCAAUUUCUCCGAGCAAGGUUAUCUUUUGUUAAAAUAACACCAUUUUUUAGAUACCACAUGAAGAUCUUAAAUCUUUAAAAGUAUUAUCAUAUGCCAAAUUUCCUAUGUGACUUUAAUCCCAUUACUGACGAGAUGUUUAUACAUAGAAUGUACAGUGAAUGAGCCAUUUUUAUGAAGGGACCAAUUAAAAGUAUCUCUCCCUUCGCAUAGGUUGACAUGUAUAAUUUUACCCACCAGGUUGUACCAUUCUAGUAGCUUAAUCCCCACUAGUGAUCUCCUGAAGGAAAUAUUUAGUGGUGUAGCAUAGAAGACAUCAGCCACUGUAGCAUGUUUCUUUCGCACUGUAUGGUACAAGUUAGGAUAUUGAGACUUUAAUGUCCUAUUUCCUAACCAUUAUCCCCCCCCCCAAAUCGGGUUUGUGCCCCAGGCAUAACCUUAAAGCGCCCCAAAUUGAGGAAGUCCUCCUUGACGCCCAUUAAACCCAUCCAAAACUGUGAAUCACCCGGUUUCUUAUAUACCUGGCCUAGAGGUUUAUUUCUAAGGUAUUUCUUCCUUAGUAAAUCCUGUCAAAUUCCCUCCUCAUUACAAAGUUUAAACAACCACUUGCUUAGUAGACAUCUAUUUUGUGUCUCUAAGUUCAUUAUCCCCAGGCCCCUAAUCCUUCGGGUGACAUAGUAAGUCCCAUUUCGCUACUCUAUAUUUUUUCCUGUGCUGAUCAUUCUGCCAAAAGAACCUUGACCUGAAGUGCUCUAUAUUUUUAGGACUCCCUUCGGGACCUCAAAAAAUGGCAACAUGAACAUGGGUAAGCUGAUUAAUACAAAGUUAAUCAGCACUAAUCAUCCCCCAACCGAGAACAUCUUUCCUUUCCAUCCACUAAGUCUUUUUUCAAAUCUACCUUCAAUAGUCCUCCAAUCCUUAUUACUUAGUUUUCUAAAGUGCAUUGGUAUGCCCAAAUAUCGAAAAGGGUAAGAGCCUAGUUUACAACCGAACAAAAGUGAGUAUGUAGACUCUUGCUCCCUUGCUUGUCCAAAGCAGAAGGUCUCAGUUUUAUGAAAAAUUAUUUUAAGACUACAUAAUUGUUCAAACAUACAUAAAAUCAGCUUCAUAUUUUUUACUUGUUCAAUAUCAUGGUCCAAAAAAAUCACCGUAUCAUCUGCAUAUUGCAAAAUCGAGAGCCCGUCUUCUAUUAAUUAAAUGUGGAACUACCCCUUUUACCUAUUCUUCAUUUUCAGCCCUUGCAAUGAUUAUCGCUAGCAUGUCCACCACUAUAUUAAAUAGUAUGGGAGACAGCGGAUCUCCUUGCAUGAGGCCUUUCCUUGUUUGGAAAAAAGGACCCAUCUGGUCAUUAACUUUAAUACCGACGUUCCCCCAUAGUGAAGGCUUUAAUCCAAUUACACCAUGUGGUUGAAAAAACCUUUCGUACUUAACGUUUGCUGUAAAAAUCCCAUUUCACCUUAUCAUAGGCUUUUUCAAAAUCUAUUUUAAACACUAUACCAUUUUGCUUCUUAGUAUGUAGCUCAUGCAAGGUUUCAUGUAAGAUGACAGCUCCUUCCAUUAUAUUUUUUCUUGGUAGGAAAGCUGUUUGUGACGGUCUAAUAAUCUUUUGUGCUACCUUGGACAUUCUGUUUGUGGCUACUUUUGUAAAAGUUUUGAAGCUCACAUUCAGUAGACAUAUUGGUAUGUACUGUUGAAUUUGCUUCGCUACACUACGCUUCACUAUAAUUUUUGUAGCUAGUUGUAGCAACCAAUUCCAUGCUUUUUUUAGUGCGUUGCUUGGCUAAAAAAGAGUGAGAUUUUCAGAACAGGUAUACACUACUAGCUACUCCCUCCAUUCCAAAUUGUAGGUCAUUUUGACUUUUCUAGAUUCAUAGAUAUUAUUAUGCAUAUAGACAUAAUUACGACGGUGAAAGCAUCUAUGCCCCUAAUUUGAGUUUUGGUAAUUAAUGACAACCUUCGUGGACUAACAAUUUCAUUGGAGAUAUGAGUUUAGGUUAGUCCCGGAAUUGAAUUGAGUUUCAAUGGAUGCUAUGGUGAUAGCUUGGAUGAGUUUACAAUAGAAAGCUUAAGGCAAAGGUAUAUGGUAGGGCUUUUCUAUUUUACCGGUCAAGAGGUGUUUAGUGGAUGAUAAUUGACCGGGUUAAUAGGCUAGAUAGCCCUACUAUCAAGAGGGGUCAAUUUUAUUUUCUUGACGGUUCAAUACUGCCACUUUGCUCAAACAAUUGCAUUGCAUGCAUAUAGGUCUAUCUUGUUUGAAAAGUGGGUAAAAUGAUGGUAAACAUAUGUUUUGAAAAUGGCUAACAUGAUGUGUAAGGAGGAUGGUCUCCUUUGUGAAGGCGGACCGUUAUUUGACUUUGCCAUAUCUUUGAAAUAGUUUUGUUGCACUAAAAAUCUAGAGGGCGGACGGUCCGACCCUGAGUAGGCAGACGGUCCGCCACAUGACUUGUUUUUAGAUAGAACCGGUUCUUGUUCUGGUGGGCGCAGGUUUAUAAAGGUGGACGUUCCACCCCCGGUUGGCGGACGGUCCACCACAUGAUCAGAAAUUUGUAUAGAACCAUUCUUGGUUCUGUGUGGGGCUGCGAUGUGAACGGCGGACGGUCCGGAUGUUGGUAUUUAGACCUGAUAACCUACCGAGGGGGGUGCCGAGGUAGUGUUUUAGUUAGUGGAGCUUGUCGAGAUCAGGAACUCGAAGGUAAACGCAGACACACGAUUUAGAUAGGUUCGAGCCACUAGAUUGCAUUGAAGGGGUCCCUACCUCACCUUAUAUUGCUGGGGGGUAGGGUUACAAGUCGGUUGGUUACAAGAAUACAGAGGAGUUCUACUCUUAUUACAACAAGUACUUUCCUAAUGCUCAACUAGUUCCUAUCUUUCCAUGUAGAGUACGUCGUCCUGCGUUAUGGUCUCCAUGUCAGAUGCGUCUCGGUGUCCAGCCCCAUAUUCAGGACUGUCCAAACCUACUGGUGGGCCCAUAGAUGCAUGUACGGCACCGGUCCCUAGGGGCGGACGGUCCGCCAGCUAACUUUGAGAGUUAGACAGAACCAUUUUAGUUCUGAGUGCUGGGCGAAGUUGUAAGGCAGACGGUCCGCCAGUUUUGGAUGGACGGUCUGCCGUACAAAUCUUCAUCAUGGACAUGUCUAGCAGCUCCCUGUGUGCUUGUAAAUUUGAACCGCAGAUGGUCCGCGCCUGUAAGGGUGGACGGUCCCCCUGUGCUGCAACUGUCAUUUCUAGCAUGCAUUUAUUGCGCUUGUAGCUAUUGGGAUGAACGGUGGACGGUCCACGCUCAUAGAGGCGCACGGUCUGCGAAUCCCCUGUUUUCAUGAGUUUUGAACAUAACGGCUAGAUUUGGGGAAGGCUCUAUGAAAGGAUCAUGCCCGGGCGUGGGAGAGCUCUCUUGGCACUUUGGAAAGAAUUCUUGACAUACUUGUGCCUUCUUCCUUCUCUCUCUUACUCACUUUGCUUAGAGGUUGAAUUCUUGUGAGAUUGAAAGUAUCCUAGUGCAUUGCAUCAAGAGUUUGAGCUUUGUGGCAUUAGGGAGUCUUCAAGCAAGCGUCAUCGACUUGUUACUCUUGGAUGUUGCUGCCUCCUAGACGGCUUGGAGAUUGUGGAGCCGUUGAGCCCUUCAAGAAGAUUGUGAAGGAGCCUCGGCUAUUCUUUCCUAGACGGCUUGGAGAUUGUGGAGCCGUUGAGCCCUUCAAGAAGAUUGUGAAGGAGCCUCGGCUAUUCUUGUGAGAGGUCCUUGUGCUUACCUCGUUGGAGUGGUGAAUAGCAACUCUAGUGGAAUCGAAGUUUUGUGAGAUUCUUUGAAUCAAGCCGGCUCAAGAUCAAGCGAAGUCUUAGUCGGUGUUUUAUACUCGUCAACCUACCGAGGGGUAUCCCGAGGUAGUAGAUUGGUUGGUGGGGGAUCGCCGGAUCUGGAACUCGAAGGUAAAAGCGAGGACACAAGACACAUAUUUAUACAUGUUCAGGCUACCAGAGUAGCGUAAUACCCUACGUCCUGUUUGGGGUGUUGUAUAUUGGGCCCUACGCUUGGGUGUUGUUUGAUGUGAGGAUUUGGUCCUCUAUUGUGGUUCUCUGAGGUCUUCGCCUACCGAUCUAGGCACCCCUACCCUCCUUUAUAUACUUAGGGGUGGGAUUACUAGUCGGUUACAAGGUAGGAGUCCUAGUAGGAUUACAAGGUAUGAGUCCUAGUAGGAUUAUAGAGGAAUCCUAGUAGGAGUCCGUCUUCUUCCUUCCUUGCAGGUACUAGGGAUCUAUCCCCGACAGUCUUGAUAGAGGAGCGGUUGAAACAUUGAAUCUACCUCAACGUGGAUUAGGAGUGACCGGCAAGUUAUCGACACCACGGGAUAAAUUCGUCUCUUGUCUUCGGUUAUUUCUUUGCUCAAUUUUCAUAUCGCAAUUUACUUUGAGGAAUUACAUUCCUAGAGAUUGAAUUGUAUCUCGUCACCCUAGGUUGCAAACCAGCACCUAGCUUUAAAAAAGAGUAGAAAUAUAAUUUCUCUUGUGUUACUAAUUAAAUUUAUUUAGUGUUGUGAUUUUAGUUAAAACUGUCUAUUCACCCUCCUUUAGUCGGUAUCCUAGAUCCUACAAACGGCCGAUUAUUAGAAACGACUGAAAAUUUGGAACAAUUUGGAACGAAGGAAGGAAGUAGAUCGAGAUCAAAACCGAUGUCACAUCUACAAAGUAGCUUGUCACCAUCCAAGCAGUGCUUGCUUUCUAUGCGGUUAAUUACGACGGCACGCAGAGAUAGAUAUUUGUUUCUAAAUUGAUCGAAAGAUAUCAUCACCGCCGAUUAUUAGAAGGUCUUAGUUGGAUUAAUAAUGAGUCUGUGUCUGUUUCAUGAGUUUUCACGGAUACCUAGUCCUACAACUCGAUCAAGCUGCAUGCGCAGCUGUCAAGCCCGGGACAGAUCAAUCCAGUGAUCGAUCGAUGGGCGCAUCAGAUAGAUCAAUCAUCAGGCAUAUGGAUGGAUGGAUUCCUUCCUCGUCAGGAUACUUCGUUUUCAGUUUGCCAUCUGUCGUGUUGCUUUUCAGACAGCAGUUGCAUGUAUCUUGUAAUUUGCUACUACUACCUCUCUCUCGAUCGUGUUGCUUCUCUACCAUCAUGUUCCCUCAUCCACAAGCAAAAUGGUCGAUGACUAGGUUGUUUCUUUCGUACAUAGUAAAGGACGAAGCCAAGAUAAAAAUGUUACUCCCUUCGUCCAUAAAUAUAUACAUAAAUAUAUACGAAGGUUAGAACAAAAUAGUAGUUAGUUAUACUUAAUAACAGCACCGAAAAUCUUUUAUUCAAUUACAAAAGUAGAGGAAAAAGCGCAAGGCAUUUUCACUUUCCCCCAAAUCCACUCAAUUUGGCCUGCACAAGAAAUAAAACACAUAUUGGCCUGCUUUAAGUAAUUUCUUGGCUGUAGCUUUGUUUCCACGCACAUGUCUCGUGCUCUACUACAUCGUUUAGUUAAUCAUACAAGAUAGCGUGUACGCAUACAGAGUAUAUAUUAAUCUGGUGUCUUUCUCUUCAGACAUGUCCGUAUAUAUUUUACUAUAUGGUAGUACGACAGCAAUAACAUACUAAUACUAUAUCGAUGCAUGGUUAGCUCCUGACUUGAGACAGUAGCAACUGAUUAUGCAUUAAAAAGAGUCUAAUUUAAUAAAGAAACAGAGAGAGAGAGAGAGAGAACUUUCCCGAGAACAGAUUAACAAUCUUUUGUACGUGACGUGAAGAUUGCUCCAACAAAGAUGGAAAUGGUCUCAGUCAAACCAUGCACGCUCUCUAUUUUUUUUUAAAUUGUUAUUAUAUUUUAGUGACAUCCAGUCAUGCUUCAGGUACACAUUGUGUAGCUCCUCUCUAAUUACCGUUAUUAGCUUCGAUAGAAUCCAGAUUUAUUUAACUAGGGUUAACUUUUAGAAAUGAAAAUGGUAAAAAUGUUGGGGCCAGAAAAUUUAUUAUCUGCAUUUUAAAUGGUGACAAAAUGUAUGCGCCGAUUCUCAGAAGGAAAUACGACGGGAGUAUAUGUUAUACCACCGCAGCAUAUAUCUAUUCCAAGGAAUAUUCCUGCCCAUCUUAGUGGUCAUCACUUGAUAAACUGAUAAUGAUGAUCUCCAAUGAAAUAAGGGUUAAUUAAGCACUUAAGAUCGAAUUAGGUCCAUAUAUAUUCGUACUUGUUGUAUUGGAUUUAAUCAUUUUUGCUUUGCUUAUAAGCAAGUCAAUUCGUUCUUGCCUUUUUCUUUUCUCUCCUUGUCCUGGACUCGUUGUCAGGGGAUCACAUAUGUGCAUGGCUGAUCUUCAGUCUCAGGAGAUGCUGAUGUGUCCAGUGUGCUCGCUCAUUCUUUAGACCAUCCAAGACAAUUGUCCGUCUCUAGAAAGGAGAACCUACCGUUUCUACUGUUCCCUUGGGCUAUUAAUGUUAGGCAAUUCUUUAUACUCCCUUCGUUCUAGUCGUUUUAGUAUUUUUAGUUUCAUCUAGAUAUAUGGGAUGUUUGGGGCUAAAUUUUAGUCGCUAUCACAUCGGAUGUUUGGACACUAAUUAGGAGUAUUAAACAUAGACUAAUUACAAAACUAAUUGCACAACCUCUAAGCUAAAAUGCGAGACGAAUCUAUUAAGCCUAAUUAGUCCAUGAUUUGAUAAUAUGGUGCUACAAAUAUGGUGCUACAGUAACCAUUCGCUAAUGAUGGAUUAAUUAGGCUUAAUAGAUUCGUCUCGCGAUUUAGCCUAGGGGUUCUGCUAUUAGUUUUGUAAUUAGCUCAUGUUUAGUCUUCCUAAUUAGCAUCCAAACAUCCGAUGUGACAGGGCUAAAGUUUAGCCCCUGUUUCCCAAACACCCUCAUAGUAUAUGUCUAGGUGCAUAAUAAUAUCUAUGAAUCUAGAAAAAUUAAAACGACCUACAAUUUGUAACGGAGGGAGUAGUAAAAGUCAAUCUCUGUAUUACUUUCUGAUAACGAUUAGUCUAAUUAUAUGCAUUUACUAUAUUCUUAUUUAUUUGAAGUGUAUUUAAUUUCUUAGCAAUUCAUAGUAUAUAAUUGAUGCUUAUCAUAUUUACCAUACCACCUUUUUUUUGUAAGAUUAUGUUGAUUUACGUUGCCACAGACAUUGGAAAUACUACCAUGCAUUUUAUAUUUGCUUUGCUGGGUUACGGAGCUACUUGAUUGUCAUCAUCCCGAUAAGUAUGUCCGCUGAUAAGAGAUGACGUUACGAGUGAACAGACCUUUGCUGUGGAAGCGAAAGAUACUCUUGCUUUUGCUGUAUUAUUGUGCUUUGAGUAUGGUUUUGUCACGCAAGACUCGCUGAUUGUUUGUGGUGUCUUGCUGAUCAAUCCCACGUUGACAUGCUGCAUAUCAUGCAAAUCAUGAAGCGACUCGAAUCUCAUUUCUCGGAAUUCAAGCCUACACACCUCCGUGAUAAUUUCAGAAAAACUAUCACAUGCGAAUUCCUAUCUCAGAUAGUAUAAAUUCAUACCAACAUAGAAAUAUAGAAUAGCAACAGAGUCACAGUAUCAUAAAUAUCGAGUACAUUACUUCGGCACAUACCAGUAUAAGUCCAUCAGGAAUGAAUCAUGAAAGGUAAAACAUCUACGCAGCGAAAAUAUGAGCUAUAGCGAGCAUCAUCUCCAGAGGCGACUUGAGCGAGGGACCAUCCCUAGUCUUCCCAUCCAUUAUUGUCAAAGUCGUAGUCGGGCUCUGACCCUGAAAUGCCACCAUCUACCCGAGAAGCGGGUAGGCCAUGUCAACUCCCAAUAGCAGAAAGCCAAGGAAUUGGGGAAUAAUACUAUAUGAUGCAACAGCAGUAGUCAAGGAUGCAUCAAAGCAAUACCAUCUCCGAGGUCAACACCUCACAUCAAGGAAGUCAUCAUAAAUCACUAGAUCCUUCACCCAACAAUCCAGCACCCAAACACACUAGGCAAUGUGAGAGCUUCCACCCUCCACAUCUCAACGGCAAAUGCAGUCUAUCUCAAAAAGGAAGGUGGAAGUAUAAUAUAAGUCUAGUCAGAAGCAACGGUAGUCAACAGUACUAUCCAUAACCAGUGCACACGGACUAUAACUAUAGAUUUAUAUACUUUGUAGAGGUUGUACACUGUACCUGCACGGAUGGAGCCUGAACAGUAGCGUCCAAACCCCACCUAACGGCCGGAGCCCUAAUAAGUGGAUAGUACUCUCCUGUUUCCUCGAGUCUAGAACCGUCCUCAACUGCAGGGCAUGCCGUCACCAGUUGAGGAUCUCGAAGCUAUGAAACCUACCAACGUCGGGGUGCAGUCUGGUAAGAGCAUGUCAACGCCUCGAACUCUUUACACUAAUCCUCCAAUCCGCCUACAGGCUGAGCAUCAAGCGGAGAUGGGUGGAGCGGCGUCGCUCGAGGUGAGCGCGGCUGUGGGCGCCCACGCACAUGGCAAGGGGAAAAGGGCUUCUGGAAGCCUCCCUUGCCUCGGUCGGGCCUGCUGACGGGAGAUGCGGCCGUGGGUGCGGCGUGCUGCUGGGCGCUCAUGUGGCGUGUUGCUGGGCAAGGAAAGAAUGGGGGAGGGAGAGAGCGGCCGGGCGCAAAGGAAAAAGCAGAGGAGCAGCGGUGUCCGUGCAGGGAGGAAGAAAAAGGAACAGGGCGAGAAAGAGACGGCCAGGUGGGGCCUUCUCGUCAGCGACUAAGGGGCGCUCGUGUGCAAAGUUAGUCAUACUAGGUUUUUAUAAUUAAGUUAGUUUUAGUUUGUAUUUUGAGUUAGAUUCAAAAUACAAACACACCUUUGAGAACCAAAUAAAAUCCAAAUCACUCGUGACAAGCAUGUUUUAAAUUUAAAUGCACAAAUUUAAUUACUAACUUUCAAAUUUAGGGAAAGAAAUGAGGGUUGACUUUAAGUUUGACCAUGUAAUUAUAUGAAACACACAUUUAAACAAAUUUUUUUAAAUUUUUGCAAAAACUGGCACAAUUAAUAACACUCAAUUUGUAAGGAUACUACAUAUCAACUCUGCAUGGGUGUAGUAUAAUUCCUGCAUUAUAUAUGUCAAAUGAUAUGAUGGUGCCUAUCCAGUAGCAUAGUAGUAUUACUCAUUCCAAUCCUAAAUAUACUAAAUAUAUGACGUUUAUGAUAAAUAAAUUACUUUCAUAUUCAUAGAGCGAUCAAUUGUUUGUCAAAAGGAUUGUCCCAGCGAAACAAAACACACGAUAUAUAUUUAUGAACGGAGGAAGUAUUAGUUUGUGUGAUUCUAAUCGUGUUGAAGUCAUGCAUGGAGAGAGAUGCAACAAGACGAGAAUACGAUCGAUUGGUUGGGGACACGUUGGGCAGGCAACAUCACAGGACGAUGCAUGAUUGGAGUAGCGCGAUGCUAAGCUGGUAGGGGUGUGACUUAAGUGGAUAAAGUUAGAUUAGUCAUAUUUGGUAAUAAUAUAUAGGCUUUGCAUUGCUUGAUAUACGAGCCGUCGUGUACGUGUGUGGUUAUUUUAUUUUUUUUGCUGGUGAUUUCUUAUAUAUGUUGCUUGGUAUACGUACGCUACAGCAUGUACAUGCAUGAUUGUUUGCUUUUGCUUGCUGGUUUGUUCCAAGAGGGCAAUCUAUGAUUGCUACUAAGCCUCUUUGUGAGAGACGGGACGUUGUAAACUUGACGUCACCAACACAGGGAGGGUUAGAUCGAGAAACAUGGACAGAUGGCGACACAAUCUAUUUUUUUUCCUUACUUUGAAAGCUGUAGAAAAUCUCAGGCCAUGCAUCCUUAGCUUCUUGAAAAGAAAACGGAGAUAAUUACGAGUUGUCAACCAUAACACAUGUAUGAGGCAUGAACGAGAGGACUGGUUUUGAAUUAGUCACUGAUAGGUUUUUUUUCCUAGCAUCAUUAAAUACAUAUUAGAAACGGAGAAAAAGGACCCAUUUAUUAUUUGUAAAUAGGUCACAAGCACAGCCUGCUCAGAACUGCACAUUUGUAAAUAGGUCACAAGUUCGCAACAGAGCAAAAGCUACAGCACAGAGUAUGGGCUGCUGCGGCAGCUGCUUGAGGCUAGCAGCCGAGCGGCUGGGCUGCCAGUUGCAGCUGCAGCCGCUAAAGGCUGUUCCGAGCAGGCUAGACUAUGAAAUGUCAACCGUCUCAUGGGUUGAAUAAAAUGACAAUAUGAGGAUUAGCAUGUUUGGUUGGUCCUAUCACCUUUUGAUGUAUUCGUGAGAUGUUAGAAACGUGUAUAUGUAGGGAAAACCAUACCAUUUUUGUUAUUUUGUUUGUGUGAAACGGAUGAUGUACUGUUGCGAUACUAUAAGGGCUUGUUUGGCUGCCGGGGCUAAAUUAUAGCACAUGUCACCUUAGAUGUUUGGAUACUAAUUAGGAGUAUUAAAUAUAGGUUAAUUAUAAAACUAAUUGCACAGAUGGAGGCUAAUUCGUGAAACGAAUCUAUUAAGCCUAAUUAGUCCAUGAUUUGACAAUGUGGUCCUACAGUAACCAUUUAAUGAUGAAUUAAUUAGGCUUAAUAGAUUCGUCUCGCGAAUUAGCCUAGGGUUUCUGCAAUUAGUUUUAUAAUUAGCUCAUGUUAAAUCCUCCUAAUUAGUAUCCGAACAUUCGAUGUGAUAAUGGCUAAACUUUAACCUCUAGUAUCAAACAGCCCUAAAUUGCAGUUUCAACAAGUUUUAGUUUGAUUUGGUCUGAGCAAUAGGAAAGUUGAAGUUAGGGUCAGGGUUGCCUACCAAGGUGAACAGACGCGGCACCAACCUCCUCCCCUCCAGUCGAGUCGGUGGUGAGGUGGGGAGGAGGACACCUUGACCUGACCGCGUCGGCGCACGCUUACCAUUUAUUGCUACUUCCUAAUUAUUUUGAUUUAUUUAUUUACUACAUAACUAACUAACUAAAUAAAUAUGCAUACUUGAGAAAAUAAGAAAAAAAAAUCAAAGGAAAGGGGGGAAUAGAUAGAAGAUAGUUGUGGGUGGGGCCCACCGAAGCACGAAGAAGUUAGUAGCGGCGACAAGGAGGAAUAAUAACAAGCAGGAGUAGUAGUAUUUCAAUUUCUUUUGGUCAGCCGUGGGUGGCGUCUUCUUCCCGUCCUCCUCCUCCCUGCGCUUCCCUCUUUCGCCGCCCCGCCGAGGAUUCCAGCGCCGCCGCUAAUUGCGAGAGCCCGCCGCGCACGCAGCCAACCAGCCCCCCGAGGAUUGGAUUCCGUUCCAAUUCCACCCGCGGGGGAAGACGAAGAGGACUUCCAUCGAUUCCACCGGUAAUAAUAAGGUAAGAAGCCAACGGCACUGCCCCUCCCCCCUCCUCCGCCAUGACCGGACCAUCCACCGGUACGGUGUGUGUCAUUGGAUUCCAUUCCCUUCGCCUGGGGUGGGGGCGUGAAUUUCUCUUGUCGUGUUGCCGUCCGCCUCGUUAAUCCCCCCAAAGAGCACAGCUGGGCCACCUCCCUUCCCCCCCUUUUUUAAAUUUGUUUUGUGCUUGUAUAAACUAGCAAAUACUAUUUGGAUCUUGUUUUCGAUUAUUGCUCGCUCCAGUCCGGGGGCAGGCAGGCGAGGCUGGCAGGUUGGCCCUUCUUCCACCUCCCUCCCUCCCUCUGCUGCUGCUUCCUUGGGUUGCUUGGAUUCAUCGCCACCACCUUCCUUGCUGCUGCUGCUGCUUUCGAUUUCAUAAAUCUCUACACCAGUAAAUAUCUACUUCUAAUCAUCAAGUCAAGGGGGUUCCCUCCCGGCGAUCGCCUGCACGGAUUUGCAAGAAUUCCCCAAUCGAUUUGGGAGUUGAUUCUUACUUGUUCUUGGUGACUAACCAAUAUGAAUGCGCUCCAAUUCAACUCUUCCGUCUUCUCCAAGUUUAAUUGACCGGGUCUGCUGCUGUUGCCGCCAGGUCAAGCAAGCAGCAGAUACAUAGGCGGGCGGGCGCGGGGGAUCUCAUCCCAUCUCAUCCGCUUCCGCUCAGGCUGGCUCUGAGCCCCGCGCCGAUUCGGUUCCACGCGCCCCAACAGAACCGAAUAUCACCAGCACCUGCAAGGGCAUGUGACAGCCGCCGCCGCAGCCGCAGGCAAUGUGCUCCGACAUGGAUCAGCACCACCACCACGCAACCAGGUACUACUACUGUCUCUGCCCUUCCUUCCAUUGGACUCCUCAGCCUCCUCUGGAUUGUAACCCAUUCAGAUUAACUAAUCUAGUCCUGUGCGCCACCUGCCUCAAUGUUUGACUCUGCUCCUGCUCAGCCAGGUGUAUUAUCAUGUUAGUUGGAUCUCUUUGCACAAUACUUACUCUCCCCUAGUAUGUUGCAGCACGAAUGCAUCGGUCACUUGUUUGUUUCUUUGCCAACCAGCUAAGCCUGCACUAGAGCUUUAUUUAGUUUUGGAUGGCCCAAUAGAUAGCACAGGUAUAUGCUGCCCCUGAAUUAUCAUCUUCUUUAUUCUUGCCCAACAAACAGGGAGGCUGCGUCGGAGGUUUUACAUGCUAAUGGUGACCAUCGCAGUCUGCAUGCACCACAUCAUCUCGGACAGAAUCAGCCUGGGGAUACCAAUAAUAACCAGCAUCCAUCCACAGAUGACUGUUUUACCUCCAAUGCUUCAUGGCACAGAAAUGGCGGGAUGAGCCGCAAUCCAUCUGCAUCUUCUGUUGACAACCACUCGGUCAAGUCUGGGGAUGAUUCUGAUGGGGCUGAGAGUACCAAAGGCAGUGAUACGGAGAUUUCACGCCUGCUAAACGAUACCAUCUGGAUGCCACCUGAGGCCGCAGAUAAGGAGGAUGAGGCCGAGAGCUUCGACGACGAUGAUUAUAGCGACGGGAUCAAGUGGGGCCACUCAAGUUUCCCGUCCCCUGGUAAGGAACAUGACGCCAGCCCGAGCAAUCCGAGGGAGGAGCGGGAGAAGGCGAUGCUAGAAGCUAUGAAUGGCCAGCUCAAGAUACUUGUAAGCCGCUUCCUGGCAUCUGCUGGCAUCUCUUCUUCCAAGGAAGAGGGUAGCGACAGUUGGCUUGACAUCGUCACCUCCCUAUCAUGGGAAGCAGCGCUACUUAUUAAACCUGACGGUACCAUGGGAAAGGACAUGGAUCCUGGAUCUUACAUCAAGGUCAAAUGCAUAGCAUCUGGUACUCGCCGGCAAAGGUGAAUACAAUUUUUCAGCUAACCCUUUGUUUUCAGACCAAUGGAGUUUCUAUUUUUGGUUCAACCUUCAAACUGUAUCCCUUCACCUGGCAAUGUACUGGUUGCAGUGAGGUGAUCAAGGGGUUAGUCUUCAAGAAGAAUGCUGCUCAUAAGCACAUGCCGACCAGUUACCACAGUCCUAGGCUUCUGCUUCUCAAAGGAGUCCUUGGGCAUUCUGAUGUCGGUUUGUCAUCAUUUAAUUCAAUGGAUCAGGUUGGACUUCACAUAUCUAUAUGCACACAAAUAGUAAACCUACUCUGUAUUGUUGCAUUGAGGGAUAACACAUUUCUAUUUUCUAUGCCUUCAAUAAUUAGGAAAAGGACCUUUUGGAGAGAGCUAUUGGUAAAAUGAUGGAGAUGUGCAGUCCUAAUGUUGUUAUGGUUGAGAAGACUGUUUCACGAAACAUACAAGAACUCCUUCUGAAAGAAGGCGUCACGCUAAUUCUUGAUAUGAAGCUCAACCGGCUAGAGAGAAUUGCACGUUGUACGGGUUCUCCCAUAAUCUCCUUUUCAGAAUUUUUAAACAAACCAAAGCUGAAGCAAUGUGACUACUUCCAUAUCGAGAAAUUUACUGAGGAGCAUAACACCACCAGUGAGGGUGGAAAGGUGCCAUCUAAAACAUUGAUGUUCUUGGAAGGCUUUCCAUGUCCAUUGGGCUGCACGGUAUGUAUAGUGUGCACUCAUCUUAUACUCAAUUCAGUACAUUCGAUGUGCACUGAUAACACUCAAUUGAUUAAAUAGCAAGUUCCAAACUGAUUAGUAUUUUACACAUUUUGGAUUGAUAUUUACAGUAACUGUGGUUUCUUUCUCGUUCAGAUAUUGCUCAAAGGAGCAAAUAGCGAAGAAUUGAAGAAAGUCAAGCAAGUCAUGCACUUCACAGUCUUUGCAGCAUACCACUUGAUCCUUGAAACUUCUUUCUUUGAAGAUCAAAGGGUUUUUCUUAAUGAUAAAAAUAUUCCAAAAGAAAACUCUGUUAGUUCUAUGGAAGGGCUAUCAACAACUGCUUUUGAUCUUGCUGCUCUUGGUGGUGCUAUCCCUAAUUUUCCUUCACAUGAUGACUCUCCAGCACUUCGAUUGUUCCAUCCCACUUCUAAUAGCUAUGUCGAUGUGAACAAAACUUUGAGAUCUCCAAGAAAUUUAGAUGCGCCGAGUUCAAUAACCAGCAGCUCUGAUCUUCAAGAAGGUGCAAGCAUCCGGUAUGACUCAAGUCCAUCCACUAAUUCUGAGAGGAUAGCAUCAGGAGUCCCAGGACCGCUGAGGAAAUUGUUUGCAGACAAUUUAUGUCACCAGAAUAUUUAUUUACCUGUUACGUCAUUGCAAGAGACAAAUGAUAAACAGAAAGAAGUCAGGGUUCAAUCCAGUCAAGAAACUCUUAGUAAUGGUUUUCAUACUCCAAAGGUGGAAGAGUCUGCGGUUUCCAGUGAAAAUGAGGAGUCCACAAAUGGUACCCAGAAACAAGAGAUUACUCAAGCAAUCAUGCAAACAGGUUCCUCUGCAAGUGAUAAAAGUGGAGAAUCACCUGCUACGGUAGAAAACGGAGCACAUAGCGGCACCAGUAUUGUUAUCAAAGAGAGAGAUGUUGAUGACGAUCAAGCUGAUGAAGCACUUGAUUCUCACAGCAUACUGAUUUUAAUGUCUAGCCAGUGCACAGAAAAGCAGAUUAUUUGUGAACAGAGCCAUUUAACCCGUAUAAAAUAUUAUGGGAAUUUUGAUGUGUCAUUGGGGCGGUAUUUGCAAGAUAUUUUGCAGAAUCAGGUAGCACUAUUUUCUUCGUUUUCUUUCAGUGUUUGCUCUUACGUGAAAUAGCCAUAUUUUGCGUUAGUAAUACAACUUGAUUGGUUUAAGAUUAAGACUCAGCUUGUUAAUUUUUUAUUCUAGCAGAAACUGAGCUGCUCCUCAUGUGGAGAGCCUCCAGAAUCUCACAUGUACUCCUACACUCAUCGAAAUGGAAAUUUGACCGUGCUAGUGAAGCGGCUUGAGCCCCAACACCAUUUGCCUGGCGAAUCUGAAGGAAAAAUAUGGAUGUGGACUAGGUGCUCAAGAUGUGAUCACGAACAUGGGAUAUCCAAAUCAACUCCAAGAGUAUUAAUAUCAGCUGAAGCGCGCAAUCUCUCAUUUGGGAAGUUCCUGGAACUUAGUUUUUCAAGCCAUUCUGCAGCCAGAAGGUUAUCCAUAUGUGGACAUUUGGUGAACAGGGAUUGCUUGCGCUUUUUUGGGUAUGCUACGCAUAUAUACAUUUUACACAUACAAAUGAUUUAAAUAGAACUAACUCCUUGCUAGCCUUUAGGCUGUAGCAUGGCAUUGCCAUGGAAACUAUUGUUUUUCCAGUGUGGUGAUGGAUACAUCUGGUUUUGAUUUCAGGUUGGGCUCUAGAGUUGCUAUGUUCCGGUAUUCAUCAGUUAAAAUUUACACUACCUGCAAACCACAACCCACUCUCCAGUUCAUCAACCCCAUCAGACAGGAUUGGUUCGAAGGGCAAAGGAGACAUGUAUGGCUUAUUCUCUUUACCAUUUCGUUUGUUAAUUAUCUUCAGUUCACGUGCAGUGGUGUCUAACUUUUAUACUGUAUCUUUCAAGGUUCAUGCUAGAGGUGUGACACUUUAUUCUAAGGUUGCAACCUUGCUACAAAAGUUGAAGAAUGAACAUUCUGAUGUGAUAAGAGUUGCAAUCAAUUGUGGCCUCUCACUCCCUAUUAAGGACUUUGCUGAACUCGAAGAGUUGUUGAUCAAAGAAAAGGCUAGCUUUGAGGUAGGUACCCUUGCAUUAAUUUCUGUUAUCAUAGGUCCUACAUAAUUGUUCUUUUCAUUACUGUUUAUUAGUUUGUCAAUAUCUGUAUCGUUAUGCAGGGUUCUCUGGACAAGGCCAUUGACCAAAAUGGGAGACCAUCCUCAUCUGUGCAAGAACUUUUGAAUAUAAAUUGGUCCUAUCAGGACCUUCUACUCAGACUUUACAUAUGGGACCGUCGUCUACAUCAGCUUUUCUACUGUAAAUCUGUUGGGCUAGAAACUGCUGCUAAUUGCAAGAACCCUGCUGAUAUUGUGAACGAGAUUUCUGAUGGCAACUUUGAAAUUGGUAAGAAAAUCAGUCGAUUCACAUAUAAUGAAACUAUGACAGCUUUUGUGGCAGCAAGGGUCACUGAGUCUGCAAGUAACAAACUUUACCUUGACCAUCAAUCAGGUGACACUGGAGCACCCUCGCUUGAUGGAAAUCUGGAAGCUGGGAACUCUGAACUUUCUUGCAAUGGAGGCAGUAAAGAUGAAGAAUCUUCCAUUGGUCCUAGUCAAAUAGAUGUAGAUAGCACAACAGAAGCCCCCAAAGUUCCUUGUUUUGAGAUAUCCAAUGAGAAGGGGGUCCAGAGAAAUGUUACAGUGGCAGACACAAUACCUGUGGAACAGGAGCCAUCUAGCAGUCCCCAACAGUUCAAAUAUCAAUAUUGGGAUAGCACAGAAAGGUGGAUUUGGAAUCCAAUUGAUGAAUCUCAAUUGGCUUAUAGGAAUGACAUUCAAGAUGGAUAUUUGGAUGAAUUUGAAAUCGUUAACCAUUAUAAACCAUCUUACCUGCCUCCCUUGUUUGAACAGCAAGACGAUGCAUACCCUCCGCAGUUCACAGUUGGUCCAGGUAGUAAUAUUCUGUGUGUACAGGAGGAUGAGAUAUCAAGCAUAAUAGCUCGUGCUCUUGCCAUGUCUGAUGAACGUCACCAUUUAAAAGAUUCCUCUUUCGAGAAUGAGAUGGAGAACUACAGGGGAGAGCAUGCUAGAACGAUGGAGAAAUCUUUUAGUUUUAUGUCUGCAAGUUCGUACAGCUCAUCACAAUGGUCAUCUACUGGAUCUCAAGAAUCUGAAGCUAGCUUGUCAUCUAUCUCGUCAAUUGCAUCUGACGAUUUCUCUGGUUAUGAUAGCUCAUCCUUAUUGUCUCCAGCACAUCCAGAAAUAACCGUCAACGGGAAAGUAACUUUCAGAGGCAAAUACUCGGUCACUAGUAUAUAUGCUAAUGAAUUCUAUGAAUUAAGAAAGAAGUGCUGCCCAUCUGAGCUUGCAUAUAUUACUUCUUUGAGCCGCUGUAAAAAGUGGGAUGCUCAAGGUGGAAAGAGCAAGGCAUUUUUUGCAAAGACAAUGGAUGACAGGUUUAUCAUUAAGCAAAUCAAGAAAACAGAGUUUGAAUCAUUUAUUGAAUUUGCUCCUCAUUACUUCCAGCAUGUUUUCCAUUCCCUGGACACUGGAAGCCAAACUUGUCUUGCUAAAAUAUUAGGAAUCUAUCAGGUAAUUUAUAUCAACAGCUCGAGCUUGAUUUCAGUUCAUCUUCCAGGCUUAUUUUUUUAUGUGGUCUCACUUGCCUUUUACAGGUUAAGCAUAUUAGGCAUGGCAAAGAGGUAAAGAUCGACCUGAUGGUGAUGGAGAAUCUUCUCUUUGGCCACAAUAUUUCACGGAUUUAUGACCUCAAAGGCGCUACUUUUUCACGUCGCGUUGCUGACUCAAAUGAUCAUGACACUGUUUACCUGGACCAAAACUAUGUUGAGGACAUGGGUGUUUCUCCAAUCUAUAUUGGUGGAAGAACAAAGCAUCUUUUGCAGCGUGCUAUCUGGAAUGACACGGCUUUUCUCACUGUAUGUAUAUCUUUGCCACAAAUCACUUGUAAUUAUGUUUUUUCAGCAAAAAUAUUUUUUUAACAUAGUUGUUGUGCUUGCAGUCGGUCAACGUCAUGGACUAUUCUCUUCUUGUUGGAGUGGAUAAACAAAAGCACGAACUUGUAUUUGGCAUCAUUGAUUAUCUGAGACAAUAUACUUGGGACAAACAACUGGAGACAUGGGUGAAGACUUCUCUGGUAGUACCCAAGAAUGUUUCACCAACCGUAAUUUCCCCCAGGGAGUACAAGAAAAGGUUUAGGAAGUUCAUGGCAAAGUACUUCCUCACAGUUCCAGACACUUGGAGUCCUGAUAUUCCUUCUAAGCAGUGCAAAUCCAUUGGUCAUAGCAAUCACAAGUCGGUAGAAGUCCAGAAUGGUGAUAGCCUGCUUCAGCAUCCAAAUGAGGCUGAGGCAUGUGCCUGAUCCUAUGCAGGACCUCCUGGCAGUUUUCUUGAAGCCUAUUCAGUUAUCAUUUGGCUAAUUUUUCAUUUUUGUAAAAUGGUGUACAUAGGAGGACCUCACUGUUGAUCUAUCCAAAAGUUUGCAGCUUUUAGGCAAAUUGUUGGGGCAUGUGAGGUCCACAAGACAUGUACCUAUACAAAUGUUCAUUGUUAAUUUCACAAUUAUUAUAGUGAAAUUAAAAAAAAUUCAUAUGAUCAUUUUUUGGACCCAUCACCUAAGAGUCUGAAGCAGUCUUCUGUCCAAGAUAGAAAUUUUCUAUCGCUGUUGAAUUAGAUCAAUUUGAGUACCAUUUUGUCCUAUUUACCUCAAUGUGGCUGCUGGCAUCUGGAAGGGGAGGAGCAGCAUAAUGCUCCUGAUCUUGCUGCACACGGUACAAUGUAGUUUUUCCUGUAUGCCCCCCUUCACUUUUUUUUGCUACUGUACAGUAUACAAGUUUGUCAGAACACCAGGUACGGUCCAUACUGCUAGCUAUUUUCUUUCAUAAAACGAAUUCUAUGGGUGAGAUUAAGUUGCUUGUUUGUUCUAUAUUCUGUCUUUUCCUGGAAUAUUACUGCGAUAUGUAUACUCCAAAACUGUUCUUAGAUCUUCAGAGAUAAAAAUUUAAUUUGGUUUUGUCCUGUUCAUUUUCAGACUUCUUCCCUGGGGAAAGUAGCUGCCUGGUGAUGUGCAUGGAGGAUAAUGUCCAGUUGGGGGUUAUAUUACUAUAAUCCUGAUCAAUGAGCUGAUGGCAAGAGCUUUUCAUGUGUGCCAAAACCUGCUUGAAGAAGUACCAAAACCUGCUUGAAAAAGUGAUCAUUGUGUCUGUUUCAGAAAGAGCCAUUGGAUUUGGUGGAUUGAUGAAGGUCAGCUUUUCCCAGCACAGGCGGCGUCCCAACCCCAAAGUGUGGAAUAUGGAUUGCGGUGCUGCUGCUUACCAUGAUGUAUCUUAUCUUUUUGGCUUUUUGGCUCUGGAAGGCACAGGUCAAUCAAUUUGGCAUUUCAACCGGUCGCAGAAGCUGAUUUUGGUUGGCUCACAAGAGGUCCACAAGGUGAUCAUCCUGUUCCAGUUCCAGAAGGCUGUUUCUCUCAUCAUCACAGAAAGCAAAUGGUGACUGUCUUCAGAGAUCAAAGAGAAGCAUCUCAAGACAAGAACCUCACGAAGGUCACAAAAGGUACCAUCUCUCUAGUUCCUUCCCUUGUUGUCUAUCUUAGCAACAUGAGCAAUCUUUACGCUACCAUUCAGCAUAUUCUUGAACUGUUGGGGCGAUAUGAUCCAUGAUAAUGAAAGCAUAAGCCUACCAUCGAAAACAAAAACAAGCAAAAAGAAUGACAACUAUAAAGGCUAAUUUCCCCUCUGUUUUUUUCCAUUCCUUUUUGUCUCCUAUGUCUAACAAGUUGGCCACAUCUCUAUAGCCCUUUUCCAGUUAUAGAAAAGGUACAAAGAGUUGGUUUUCCUUUUUCCGAGGUCUGAUUGGUGGCGCUUGCAGAUUCUCCUUUUCACCAUCAACUAUUAUAAUAUCUAAAAGAUAUGUUGUAUUAAAAAAUGCUAGAGAUAGAUAUGUUCUGGUUCUGGUUCUGAUUCUGGCAAAUAGGGGAACUAGGGAAGCAUACAAAUUAAAGACGAUCAUGAUUCGAUUCUGCAUGCACGAGUCAAGUAUGGACACCCUGACCCUACUAGAAUGGUAGCAGCUAGAGAGUAAACACAGCACAGCAGCGCACUCAAAUCGAACCAGAUGGAGAAGGAAAACAAGCAAACAAAAAAGCACCUUCCCUUGGGUUCCCUAGCUAGAAUUGUAGUUAGUCUUGUUGUAUCUACGGGCCGGUACUAGCAUACAAGAAGUGCUGAGCUGAACUUUUUUUUUGUUGUUUCAGGUAGCUAGCGAUGGCUGCAGAGGUCGGAGAGCAUCUUCCUGCCCUCGACGAUCUCGUCGAAGAAGUCGUCGAGCUCGACGAUGAGGCUCUCGGCUCCCGAUCGCAGCAUCCCAACCCAGCCAUUGAUGAUCUCGGCUCUCUGGGCGAUCUCGUCGUGGUCGCAGUAGCCCCCCAUGCGAACGACCCUGUCCAAAAGUCUUGCUUGAGGCUGUCGAUGGCUGCCCGGGCCUGGCGGAACUCGUACAUCAUGAUGCCUGCAGUAGAUGUAGAGUGGUGGUCGCCCACCACCCGCUGCAACCAAGGAUGGAGUCCCAUCUCCUGGGCGACGCGGUGUCGCAGGCGCGCCAUGGAGGCGACGUAGCCCGAGGUGGCGCGGAGGUGCUGGUGGGUGGCAGCAGCGGCAGCAGAAGAAGUGAGGAGGUCGGGGAGACAGGUGACGGUGCCGGAGAUGAGGAGGACGAGGAGGAAGGAGGUGGCGUUGCGGAGGGCGUAGAGGACUCCGCGGAACCCGUUGAAGGCGUUGAGCUUGAAGUCCCUUGGGGAGCGGGCGUCGAGGAGGAGGGAGGCCGGGUCGAGCCUUGCGUCGGCGAGGGCGCGGUUGUCCUGCUGGAGUCCGGCGGCGUGUCGCCUGGGUGCGUUGAUGGCGCGCAUGAGGUGGUGGUGGUGGUGGUGGUGGUGGUGGUGCGGUGCGGCGGAGGCGGAGUAGAGCGGCAGCCAGUCGUGGACGGCCGGGGCGACGCGGGCGGCGGAGGCGCAGUAUGCGUCGAGCGCGGAGGCGCCGGCACGGGCGAGCUGGCAGGCGUCCCAGAGGCGGGAGGUCUCGUCCAUGUACUCGUCCAGCCACCGCUCGCCGGGAGGGAGGUGGAGGCGCUGCACCACGUGGAGAAGCUGGGAGUGGAGGGAGCGGAGGAGGGAGGCGGCCUGCUGGAGGAAGGGAGCCGAGAGGCACGCGUGCGGGCUGCGGUGGAGGGCGUCGAGGCCGUGCGCCAUCGCCGAGUAGAACCCGCCGUGCGCCAUUGCUGCUGAUGGUGUCUGGUGGUGCUGGGAUGCUGGUGGAAGAACUGUGACAGCUGGUGUGCAUGGUGCUGGGCGCUGGGUUUUAUAGAUACUCCAUCCACAAUGGGAGUGGAAGGCCAAGGAAAAGAAGAGGAGGCCGUGUAAUGCCUCCUGCUAAUGAUGGGGUGUCUGAUGCGCAGGGGGAAGGAUGAUUGUUGAGGAGAUGAUGAAUCGGACUGAAUUCGAUCGAUCCAUCCUUCCUUUCCUCUGUUUCCUCAUGACUCCAUUACUACGAUGAGAUGAGAUGAAACGAGACAGGGGUCGCCGUGCUGCUUCUCCUCUGUCGGUCCAGGGGGUGGAUCAUCCACCCUUUGCUCUGUUUGCUCAUGCAUGCAAUGCAACGCCGUGUUGUGUUGGGUUUAGCUGGAAUGUCUGUACCAAGCCCAGAUUGUUCACCAAGUAGCUAGUAGGUGUAGGCAAUAAAACUCAUUAUUAUACAUCUUGGUCAUCUGAGUUUGUUGAGCGUUUAUGUUGUUGUUGAACAAAUACUCCUAAACUGUGGAUGCAUGCACAGCACAGAUGCUACUUGUAGGACAAACAAAGUUUCAAAGGCGGGCAGGGAGUCCAAGAGAUUUGUCUUUUCCAGCCUAGAGUCUAGAGCUACUAGAGUCCGGUAGAGGAAUGAGUGAUUGGGUAUAUUCAAGGUAGGAAGCAGGGGUGAUGGCGGCAGCAGCAGCCUAGCUGGAAUGAUGGGUCUCCUUGUACCCGUACAAAUCUCUCUGGCCGCUACAAGCGCCUCCCCGCCUUUUGAGGCAUCCCUCCCUCUUCACCCGGGACGGGGCCUCCCAGCAAUCAUGCCUGGAUAUGUGCCCGUGCCCUGCCUCCCCUUCUUCUCCUCCUUACUACUACUCUAAUGCCAAAGCUUCAAAUCUUCAGUUGCUCAUCGGCCGUCUAAUCGCACGAUCAAGGGCUCGGAUCAUCUCGAUUACAUAAUCAUUCCACGGUCGUCCCCAAUGAUGGUGGUUAAUUACUCCAAUUUUGUUGCCGCAACUAGAGUGCUUAAUUAGUCCAAAAUAAACUAGAGUAGGAUUCCAAGGAAAGGAACUGGUCCAAGUAGGAGUAAGACCUGUCUUAAUAGGAGUUUUGUAGGAGUGUCAUGAACAUUAAAUUUGUUGCCACAUCAGUAAAACUGUUGAUUUGGCAAGGUCAUCACGAAGGGAAGUUAGUUUCAUCCCCAUGAUACUCAACUGGCAUGGUUACCAAGUUCUCGAUCUUAGUAACUGACCUAAAUGUUAUGUUAACAAGAGCCUAGUGCCGCCUAGGUGCUCGUGGGGUUUGGGAGGACGAGAGAGGGAUUUGGAUUUGAUUGGGGAAAUCAAAGGGCAUGUAUGUUAGGUUGUUUGCCUUUGCCUUUGGCCCUCCCUCCCAAGCAAUGCAUGCAUGGUUAACAAAUAUAAUGCCAGUACUUAAUUAUCAACUACUAAUAUACUAUAGGAGUGUAGUAAGAUUGAUCAUCGAUGCAUGGAUCAUGUUUGAAUAUUUGUUACAUACUACCAGGCCAUCAGUCUCGUAAGUAGUACUACGUUGAAUGCCGAUCGAGACUGACUCUGACUGGACCAGAAUACAACAACACACUCUCUCGAUCACUCCACUAGAGGACAUGCAUGCAUGAUGCAUUGGAACGCCUUCAUGCAUGUAUAUAAACAAUAAUGCUCCUGCGUGGCCGUGGUUGACCGGUAGGCUCCACGCCACUCAUCACGCCGCCGGCCCUAGCUCGGAUGACCAUGAACAUAUGCUAAGAAUAUGGUAUUCCAAAUGAACCUAGCCAUAUGGCAAUUGAAAAACAAAUGGUUUAUGCUUUCAUUUGCAUUGCAGAAACAACACUUAGGACUACCACGCCAAUGUCUCUUUGGCCAAAUUAUCUUUAGUUAGAAUCACACCUUUCUUCAAGUACCAAAGGAAAAUUUUAAUCUUUAGAGGAAAUCUUAUCUUCCAAAGAUCACUUUUUCUUGGUAAAGCAUCUUUGUGUAUCAAUGCGGAAUACAUCGAAUGAACAGAAAAGAUGCCAUUCUUGUGCAAACCCCACCUAAAGAUAUCUUCCUCCUCGCAUUCAAACUAACAGCUACCACCUUGGAAACUAGUUCGUAUACCAUGCUGCUAGCUUGUCUCCUACUAAAGCUCAUCGAAAAGAAAUAUUGAACUUAGCACACUUGCCACUGUUACAAACUUUUUCCUCACAAUUCUGUACAGCAUAGGAUAAGCUAACGCCAAUGGUUUAUUUGUCACCAAUCCAAAUCCAAAGGUCCUCCCAAAAUCUAACAUCAAUGGUGUAUGGUACUCCUACUUGAUACCAAUGCAAGAGAGGCUAGAGAGCAACAUGCAUGCCACAAGGUAAUAAUGAUUUGUCAACGUACACUGCCAAAAACAGAGCAACAUAAAAGUCUGUUUCUGUUUGCGUGCAUGUGUGAGUAGUAAUCGGAUACCGUGGAUAGUGUACCACUCCACUGUAUGUGUUUAUCCGAUCUGGAACAGCCAGCGCAGCUUGGGGGCACUCAGUCGUCUAGUACUGGACUAUGAUGCCGUCACGGCGCUAUGUUCCGUAUUCCGCCAACAUUUAGCCCCUUGCAUAACUUCCAAGUUUACUGUGGACCGAGUAUGCAUAUUCCAUUUGUAUAAUUGAACAGCAGUGCCAUACGAAGAACACAUGGAUGCAUGGUAGAAAUUUCAGCAGUAUAAUAAUGAUGAUAUGCAUGAUAUAGGUAGGCCUGCAUGGUGUGUAGGUGUAGGGCGGCUGAUGGCUCUUGACCGAAAACUUUGGGAGGUGCUUCUGCUUGCACUACAGUAGUCUACAGAUAGACGAGGAGCCAGAGUCACGCGCAAGCAGCAGCCUUUGCUGUUGGUGCAGCGAGUGAGAUAUGAUACUCACACUCUCAGAGCAGAGAAGAGAAUCAUGGAUGCAACAGAAUAGAGUAGAGUAGAGUAGAGCUGCUAGCUGGCCAUGCAUAAGGCUGCAAUUGCAAUGUAGUACUGGUAUCAUGCUGCAUCAUCCAUCAGUCUUCGAUUGCAUAUUUGCAUUGCACCACCAUGAUCGAUCCACGUCAAUCAGGAUCGAUCAGCUGCCUGCCUUGCAAAUUACAAGCAGUCAAGCAUUGUAUUCAUCCAUGACCCUUUCAAUGAAGCAUAUACGAUGCGUUUUUUUUUUUCAAACCAUGUAUAUGAAACCGAAUUGAGUUCGAGUUUGAAACAAGAGGCGACCUAGUAUCACCUUUUGACGGCCAAGUUGGAAAGACCCUCCUACCUUCCCCCUCUAUAAGACUAUAAGAGUAAGUAGUAGACUGUAAAGAAAGAAAGAAGGAAAGAAAGAUUAAAGUUGGCGCGCUUUUUGCCUUCCUUCCCCGAGCCAACACAAGAGGCCCAUGGCCAUGGGCGGGGCGAAUCACUCAUCAUGCUGUCAUUUCUGCAGCGGCUCGUUGUUUUUUGCCCGCCGCCUGCUCCGAUCGAUUGCCAACUCGAAAUCCAGAAAAUGUGUUGCAUGGACAGGAGGCAGCAUCCAUGGAUUGCCAUGGAGGAUGGAGCCCCCCUGCUCCUGCUCCUGCUCCUGCUCUUGCCCUGCAAAAGCCAUCGAGUGCCAUGCGAGUAAGUCUUGUCCCGUUUCAAACGUCUCCAAGAAAUGGAAUCAAUCCUCUGCUUUCUGAAUAUUUUGCCGCCGCAGAUCAUCGUCUCGUCGAUGAGAUGCCGCCAAGGCUAGCUUGUCGACCACCAUCAUCAUCGUCCUGCUAAGGGGGUGUUUGGAUACGAGGUGUUAAACUUUAACAGUGUCACAUCGGAUGUUCGGAUGCUAAUUAGGAGAACUAAACAUGAGGUAAUUAUAAAACUAAUUGCAGAACCCUGUGCUAAUUCGCGAGACGAAUCUAUUAAGCCUAAUUAAUCCAUCAUUAGCAAUUGGUUACUGUAGCACCAUAUUGUCAAAUCAUGGACUAAUUAGGCUUAAUAGAUUCGUCUCGUGAAUUACACUCCAUCUGUGCAAUUAGUUUUGUAAUUAACCUAUGUUUAAUACUCCUAAUUAGCAUCCAAACAUCCGAUGUGACAGGUGUUAAACUUUAACACUUGAUUGCCAAACACGCCCUAAAAUUGCACCCGAAUAGCGGAAUAGGAGGAGGUCCAAUCAAUCUCGACGUACAGCUUUCUCAAUCAGUCCGGACAAGAAAAUGACAAAAUGUAAUCUGAUAUAACAUUAGAGUAAAAUUUGCAAAAAUAUAUACGGAUAAACUAAACUACACAACAGUAAACCACAUGUUUAAGGUGUUCAACAAGGUUGUAAAUAAAUAGCAUUGGUGGCGACAAAGAGCCAAGACAAACGAAAAAACAGAGCUGUAGGUAGUAGCUGUAGCAGCGGCUAUUCUUCGUAGCAUUUUUUAAUAUUAAAAUACCUAAAAGCAACAAAUAUAUGCACAAGAAGAGCCAAGAUAGAAAAAAAAAUUACUUUAGAACCACUAAUCCCUUUCUUCCCUUCCAUAUCGGGAGGCUCUCGAUUUAAGCUAGAUCGAUCGAGAGCUCUCUCGUUUUAGUUUUUUUCGAAAGAAAAAAUGCCAGGAAAAAUGACAAGUAACAAAUUGGUACGAGGAAAUAACAAAAUCGAGUCACCAACUCCGGCGACGACUCCCACUCUGGCGAGCUCCGAUUCGGGUUAGGGUUUGGGGAUUAGGGUUAGGGUUUCAGGGUUUGGGGUUGGGGAGGGGAUAAUUUGUGCCUACGGGGUUAGAGGGAUGGCUAGGGAGGCGGCCGGCCCGGCGGAGCUGGUGGGGUGUGGGCGGUGGUGGCGCCGCCGGCCGGGUGGUGGAGAACAUCCGAUGGCCUGUGUAUGCGACGGGGGUGAGGAAGAGGAGUGGUUAGGAUGGGCGGGGGAGAGGGUGGGGUAGGAGGUGGGCGGAACGACACGGCGGUGGAGGCCGGUGGACUGGCGGUCUUAGGGCAGAGACGAAGAAGAUGGCGGCGAAGUACGGAUUCGGACAAAGGGGAGGAGGAGGGGAGGAUGAAAGGCAGGAGCCCGCGAAGACGGAGGGUAGCGUCUAGGAUCAGCGAAGAGCGGUUGGGGGCGUGCAAGCGAAGCUGCAGUCAAGCGUGCAGUCGCGAGGAAGACGAAGAGGAUAAGGCAUUAGGCUUGGACGGUGGUAGAUAGCAUGUGGGUGGGCCAGGGGUUCUCCACCUAUUUCUAGCUGGAGAGCUCUCUUUGUUUAAUCGCCUCCUUUUUCUUUCUAUCUCUUUCUUCCCUUCCAUAUCUCGAUUUAAGCUAGAUUGAGAGCUCUCUCGUUUUAGAUUUUUCGUUUAUCUUAUGUGACAAGUUUGGUUUUGUCCUCUAAUCCUUAUAUGUUGAUGAGUAUUAAGGAUUGGAUUCAUUCUAUUUCAUUAUAUGCAUCAUUUUUGUUGUUUUUUGUUUUCAUUUGGAGAUGGAUCUAAUAUCCUAGUAGCUAUCUAAAAUGCCUUGUCGAUUUCUAAGAUAAAAGUAUGUUUUGGAACAAUAGAUCAGAAUCGAAGCUUUACAUGUGCACUUGGGGGGAGAAAAGGCUGUGUAUUUUUGUUAAAAACCCUUUGAUGUGAAGGCAUACCAUACAAGCGCUCGUGGCCUAAUGGAUAAGGCAUUUGACUUCUAAUCAAAGGAUUGUGGGUUCGAGUCCCACCGAGCGUGCGUUUCUUUUUUUUCUUGUUUUCCUUUUCCCCCCGUUCUCUGCUUUUAAACAAGCCUUACCCUGUUUCUUCGAAAUUACAGCAGCACAUAUAUCUGUAACGGGGAUUCGGACUCUUUUUUUAAAAAAAAAGUUUCUGCUAAGGGGUUUUUUUUGAUCCCGGGCUAAAUUUUAGUCCCUAUCACAUCGAAUAUUUAGACACUAAUUAGGAGUAUUAAACAUAGGCUAAUUACAAAACCAAUUUCACAACCACUAGGUUAAAUCGCGAGACGAAUCUAUUAAACCUAAUUAGUCCAUGAUUUGACAAUAUGGUGCUACAGUAAAUAUUCGCUAAUGAUGGAUUAAUUAGGCUUAAUAGAUUCGUCUCGCGAUUUAGCCUAGGGAUUCUGAAAUUAGUUUUGUAAUUAGCUCAUAUUUAGUCCUCCUAAUUAGCAUCCGAAUAUCCAAUGUGACACGGACUAAACUUUAGCUCAGGAUACAAACACCCCCUAACAUGUUAGCCCGAUAAGGAGGAGAUAGCUGGACCUGGAUGAAUCCCUGUGAUUUGAUAGCAUUUCGUAUAAGAUGUCAAUUUUUUUUAUUUAAGCAAUACAGACGAAAGAUUUCACAUCGGAAUCUGACAGCAAAAUGAUUUCAGAUUUGUACGAAAAAGGAUGAACGCAACAGUAGUGCUAAUAAUGACAGCACCAAAAUCUGGGUGACCAAAUUUAUCAUCGUCAUCAAGACCAAAAAGAAAGACAAAGAAUCAGCAACCUUUUUACGAAGCUCUACACCAACUCGACUGGAACUUUUGCCAUUUCGGUUCUCUACUAUGUGCCAAAAAGCUCCUGAUGAUCCGUGCUGAAACGGCUGUUAGAUCAGAUGUAAGUAUGCUGGUUUAUUCCUUCCUAGUAAAUAUCGAAUCGACAUCGGCAGCUGCUGCUAAAUCUUGUCGCCUUGCUUCUCGCCGGUGAGCGGCAGCAUCUCCAUGCGGCCCCUGGGCGUGCGCGGGCCUGGCGUGGUGGCGGCCUGCUGUGAGAUGAGGUGCCUCACGUAGCCGUAGAAGGUGCAGCCGACGAGCGUGAUGGCGCAGCCGACGGCGUUCAUGGCCGAGAUGGGGUUCCGGAAGAUCAUCCACGACACCAGCACCGCCACCGCCACCUUGAGGUUGCCGGCCACGUUGAAGGUCACGGCCGUCGUCGAGUGGAUCACGUAGAAGAUGGAGAAGUUGAGGCAGAAGGCCAGCACCCCUGACGUGAUGAUGAUCGCCAGCGCUGGGGCCACGGAGUCGUAGGUGUAGAGCCAGCUCACCACGCCGCUGCCUUCAAGCACGAUUGCUGGAACCGACAGGAUCAUCGUCGCAAAUGGCGCCAUGUAGUACACCGUGUUUAUGCUGCACAUAGAAACAGUAGAAUUGUUCAUACCAAAUGUCAGGUGCCAAUCUAUAAACAAAGAUCCUCUUAUACCUGUCGAACUUGUAUCCAUGGAGCAGGGACUCUGCCAUGAUGGUCUUUGUGGAAGUGGCCAGGCAGCCCACCAUGGCAGCACAAAAGCCAAACGUGUUGAAGCUCAGCUCGGUUAUGGAUGUCAGCAGAAUCCCUCCCACUAUUGGGACCAAAGAAGCCCAGAUGCGCCACUCGAAAUAUUUCCUCCAGAUCAACCACUGAAGAAUCACUGUCACAGUGGAAGAGAUCGGUCAGAAAUUAUUAUUCUACUACUGACAUUGUGGAAAUACUAACACAGGAAAACAAAGGAUGACAAGAUCAGAUCGCUAACCCGUUGUUGCAGGAGUGAAAGAUUUUAUCGUCUGCAUGAAGGAGACUGGAAUGUAGCGAAGGCUGACAUUCCCCAACACGAUGUUUAUGCAGAAUACAAAUGACAUUGGGAAUAUCCUUCUCCAUCGAUCCUCUGAGGCAACCUCGAUCAGAGGCUUUGUUUUCAGAACUUUGAUUGCGAUAUAAGCUCCAAUAGAAGAGCAUAUGAAGUGGACACACGACACCGUCAGAGGAAAUUUGAACUCCAAUUUCUGCCAAAUUUAAAGUCAAAAAUCAUCAAGUUGAUGCCUUUAUCUUUAUGCCAAGCAAGUCGCAACAACCCCUUUUUCAACAUCCAAGCAACGAAAGUCAAUUCAAAUAGAUGAAAAGGGAGAAACGGAAAGCUUCUUCUUUAAGGUUCUCUCCGACAGAAAGCACACUACCACAUGCUAGCAGAUGGUUUCUUAAAGAACACUGCAAGCAGUGCUACUAGCAUGUUUCUAAUAUCUAGGCACAUAUAUUUUGACAGUUGUGCUAGUUUACAAGACAAAUUAUUUGAUAAAUAAAGAAUCAAUAUAUAUCACUACAAAGAUAGCGUGUCAAGUCAAGAGAGAAGGAAAAUAUUUUUCAAGCUCCUCUUAAAGAAACAAUCUCGGGCAGAAGCAGCCUGAAGGGAAAUGUUUGGGUCCUAACUAUCUUCAGGGCAUUUGUACUAAACCUGCUGAAAGUCAAAGGUGAUCCUGGACGGUUACACUCCAUCAAACCAAGAGUCAGAAUAGGAACCUUGCUGCUCAUUCUAACAACUUUUAGUAAACCACAAUCUUGAGGAACAUGCAGGAUUGCAGACUUCACUACCUGGUUGUGGCCUACUAAAUUGCAUGACUGCACAGAGGUGCAAUUUGGAUUCGUGCUAUUGAUAACCGUGCACUCCUUUUACUUUUUCCCUUUGUAUUUUGUUUAUGAAACAAAAAUGUCAGGAUAAGUUUCAUAAAAAAAGUCAAGAUACAUAUACGAACAGAGGUAGCACUAUGGUUUUCAUUUAUUCAUAAAUUUUAUUGCACAGAUGCUGUUUCUAGGACCAACAUAACUACAAUUAACUCCAGAGAUGCUGUUUCCAGGAUCUUAUUUUUCCAGCUGUACUUAUUUUUUUAGAGGAAUUCUUUUAAAAGGAUUCAGCUGUACUUUAUGCUAGCAUGAUCGUCAAAAAGGAAAAGGGCUCUCCUUCGAGUCAUUUUCCCUGCACGGCGUUUACACACUAUUGUUCUCAGUUAACCCCGAAAUCCAUAAACAGAAUUCCGUAAUUGCCACCAAUAGACAAAAAAAGAAAAAAUCUACUGUUCUUCAUCAUAAAAAUCCCGAACCUAACUGCAAGUAACCGAGUGGAGCAAUUUUCAGGUGUAAAGACUGUAUCUUUUUUUCUUUCUGUGAAAACACUAGACAACACCAGUAUUGAAGAAUCAUCUGCACCUAUGGAAAUAAGCAAAGAAAAUAAAAGGACAAUCUUUUGGUCCUAUACUCAUGGAUCAGCCCCUGAAUUCGCUUUUAAUGAAUAUUAUAGACAAAGGAAUAUAUCCGGGAAUUGAGAUAAAAAAAACAAACAACAACAAGGUUGAAUGAAUCAAUCGAUCAAUAUUUAGAAGAAGAGUAUUGGGCUGGUUGACCGACCUGGAAGAUCCACUUGUUGAUGAUGAUGACGGUGACGUUGAAGCCCCACCACUGGAGGAUGGCGAGCACCGCCCGGAUGGUGGUGGCGUUCCCCAUCUUGCCGUCCUCCAUGGAAGGAUUGCUUCUUGGGCUUGCCGGCCGGUGCCUCUCUGUUUCUCUCCUCUAUCUAGUAUUAAUUGAUCAAUCCGACACGAGAAACUCCUCCGCCCAGUGAUCUAUCGUCCAUUAAGGAAGGCUCCUAUCUUGUAGAAGGUUCUCGGAGAGAGAAGGGCGUGACGGUGGUGGUGACUGGUGGCUUAGAAUAGAUGGAGGAUAGGAGGUGAGAUGAGGAAGAGAAGAGGGAGGGGGGCGGGGAAGGCAGGGCAGGACGGAGGAGGAAGACGAUCGGAGGGAAAGGGAAGGGAUAUUCUGUUGGUUCGUUCGUUUUAGGUUGGGAAUUCAGUUGGUGUGAUGUGAUUUCUCAAAGCAUCGGGAAUCGAAAGAGUCAGAUGAUGGUGGUGCUGGCUUUUGCCACGCGUUACGUGUGCCCCUGCUCCUGCCUCUCUCUGUUUUUUUUUAACUAGUAAGUAUUUGAUGAUAAUUCUGAUACAGACGGGAAGUGUUUUCUUCAAUUCAAUUCAUCGUUGAGGCGUCUCCAAACUGAUUUUAUAUAUCCAAAUAAUUCAGUUGCCUCGUCUUGGAAAGGAAAUUAAACAUGAUCUCUCCUGUUUCUGCUUCCCAUGCAUGAAAAUCCCCGUAGAAAUCCUAUCUCGCGGUCCAGUAACGGCCCAGGGUUUUCAGCCAGAUAUCACGUAGAUAGAAAGAUCCUUUUUACGGGAAACCACGUAGAAAGUGAACAGUUACAGAUAUAUACAAGGGGAAAAAGGCCAGCGUUCCUUUUAGCUUCUGGAUCCUGACCUGACGUCCUGACCUGAAUUCAGAUCGACGUGGAUGUUGCGUAAGUGCAUACUAUUAUAUUAUGCAGUGCUUUAGAAUGUAGAUGGUUGACGAAGAAAUGGUUUCUGUCCCUGUUGUUGUAAGGAAGGCGACAUCAAGUAGGUACAGCAGGCACUUGCUCCAUUAGGAGUUAGGACGACUACACACAUGCACACACAUGGGACACACCCAGCUUUUCUCCCUAAGUACCAUCAAGCUUAUCAAGAAAUGAUUCAAACUCCCUCCCUAUUGUCUAACAAAUUUAGGCACCACAUCAAGUACAUUGCAUUGACACCAGGGGAAUACAUACAGUACAAACAUUUUCUCCCCAGCACAUAAAAGACGACGAUGGUUGUUUCCAUCAAUGUCUUCCAAGUUCCUAACCAUUCAGCCGGAUAUAUAGGAGAAAGGAGACCCCAGCUUCAGCCUUCUGCAGAGUCUUCAGGGUUAGGUACAUAGGUUACCAAGCCAUCACAAUUCACACACAAGAUGAAGGUGUUGCUGUACCACUUAUGGAUUCAGCUGGCGACAUAUCAUCCACAAACCUCCACAAGCAUCAACCACAGCCUAUGCAAAAUCAUAUAAAUACACACGUUUUGUCCAACAAAAGAAACGGUGAGCAACAUGUACAAAACAAACAUGUCAACAACAAGGGUGUCAGGUGCUGCCACAAGGUAAUGGAAGGCGCACACACACACACACACACAACAUCACAGCAAAACAACAACCACCUACUCAGAAUAACCAAAAGAAUUCAAUUCAGAAAAAAGAGAACAGAACAGGGAAUCAACAUUUCAUCUCCAGCUACAUACGCUGCCAUCUCAUCUUCACCAGCCAACAAGCUGUCUUCCUGUGUAUACACAACCCAUUAUUCAAGCUGUCAGAGUAAUGUAUACCCCUUUAGAGGGACCAAAGAAUCCUUUCCUUUCUUUCACCCUAAGCCUGUGAAAGCACCACCUCUCAAGCUGAUCCACGCUGCUGCUGCUCUUCUGUUACUUAGUCUCUGGAGCACCACUUGCCACCACCUUCGACCUUUUGGCACCAGGAACAUGCAUGACAGUCUCCAGGACCGACUUCUCAUACUUCUGCAUUGCAUCCAUCGACCUUCGCGCACUACACGAUGUGCAGUACCACGAACCUUUUGGGAUAUCAAUGCGCGGCGGAUUCAUGCAGUAUAUGUGAUAAGCAUCAUCGCAGCCAUCACACAAGACCGUCCAUUCGUCGUCCUUGGCCUUGAAGCAGCCUCUGCACAGGCAAGAUGGGCAGUACCAGCAUGCUCGGUUCUUUUGCUUCUGAAUUGCAAUCUGGCUUUCUUUCAGGCACAGAACAUGAUAGAACUUGUAAGCACAGUAAGGAUGGCCGCAUACCAAGAACUUCUUGUCUUCAUCUUCACAUGUGCCACAAUGCUUGCACAAGUUUGAUAGCGCAGUAGUUGAGAGGUCUGGUUCACUAUCUCCAUCCAUGCUUGAGACUGAGCUCUCCUGUGUUUUGACUGCCAACUCAGUUCUACUAACAUCCUCAGGAUUUUCUUCUGGCACCUUGACCUCAAGCCAUUCGCAUACAUCGCAAUCUUCAUGCGAUCUGCCAUUGUUGUUAUUCUUUAUAGCUGCAUCUAAUUCAUUGCAGGUGGGACAGAACCAUUUUGCUGGGACAUCAUCAAUGGCAGGCUUGAGACAUGAAACAUGGAAGGCGGCUUCACAUCUAUCACAGAUAAUUCUGCCUUCGCUGUCUGCCUUUCUGCCACAAUCCUUGCAAAUUCCAUCCAAUCCAGAUGUCCCACUUCGUUUUGGUAUGGUAGAAUGGCCAGAAUCACAUGGGGGAGUCGACUCCCUCAGGGUUUUGUGGGCAACACCAACCAAACUUGUUUCCUAAUGAAGAAUGCAAUUAGUAACAGAAUUUUACAAAUACUAACAAUGAAACAUUGGUUAGCAGACAUGCUCAUAGCACACCACUCACCUCUAUCUUGUGCUCGGUCAUAUCAAUUUCUGAAACGCCAGAAGCCUACAAAGAAUAUUUCUAUUAGCAAUGGCCAGCAUGAAAGGAGUGAUUUCAACAAUAUGAUAGUGUCUCUCGAGUCAAAAUCCAUCCAUCUCGGAGCUAGCACCAUCAUUUAUCACUAACAAAAAACUAACAGCUUACCUGCUUUUGACAAGAAGCUUGUGAAAUGACUGAAAGACUGCUCGCCAGACCAACCAUUUCUUGGCCAACUUGUUCAAACUUCUUCCAUAUCUGCAUAAUAAACAAAUAUAAAUACAUAGUAAAAGAAGUGUUGAUGAUAUGUUCCCACCUGAAUGUUUAAGGUAACUUCUAAGGAUGUUUGGUACAUGGAUACAACAAACAAACAAAACUACAGUUGAGAAAAAUGAAAAACAAAUAUAAGAGAACAGCUUUGGCCUUUGAGAUACAUAGGAGGUACUAACAUGUAAACAAAUCUAAUCAUUCAUCACUUGCCCCCAAAAACAUUAAGGGUGUGAUUGGUUUCGUAUCACAGUAUCCUGGCUCGCACCACGCAUGCAGGCCUGUGCUGGCCAGGCCUGCCAGAUGCAGCCGGUUUUUGUUUGCUUGCCUGCACCCAGACAGCCAGGACAGGUUCAGAGCCUGAUUGGAUACCCACACCCAGCCAUUAGCCAAUCCGAUUUUUCUCACUGCACUCUUGGCCCGCGCGCUCGCCUGCACCACGUGAGCCAGGCCCGCGGGAAACGCCCGCUCGCCACGUUUCUUCGAGCCAGGCUCUAGCCUCCUUUUUGCAUCCAUGGAGCCUGGCUCCGGGGCCUACACAGGCAACCAAUCAGUCUCCCCUGCAUCCACAGAGCCUGACCGGGGAGCAUGCGGGCAACCAAUCAGCACUUAAGGUCACGUUCCCCCUUUUGCCUUCUUCCAUUUAAGAAAAGAAGUGAACAAGGUAAAUAAAACCUUCCUCACAAUACAUGGUUUAAAUCUACUUAUUGAGCACUAGUGCACAGCAGCAUGCUACAGCCCAUGUUAGAUUUAUGUGCAUUCAUUAAUGCCAUCCGCUGAUGGGUCAAGGUCAAGCUUGCGCCUUGUGGUCCACAUAAAGUGAGAGGCCCAAGGGAAUCGGCAAGGCGACGCUUCAGGGCAGUGGAUGAUGUGGGUGGAGAGAAACAUAGCAUGAAUUCAUGAAGACAGGGCAGCAGAUCCCUUCCCACGAAAAACAGAUAUUAGGUGUCCUUCGUAGGAAAGGAGGCACUACAUCUCAGAGUUGCCUUGAGUCAGUAGAGAAACAUGGCUAUGUGGUUAGCCAGUCACAUAUAUGCUGUUUUGGUUGAGCACACCUAUUCCAGCUACAAUGGCGUAGGAAAAACAUGCACCCUUCUUCCCAUGAUUCUAUUGUUUAAAACUUGGAUUUUCAGAAGAAUUUCGAAGGGGCAACCAAUGUGCUGGAAAACAGGACCGAACAGGCCACCAACAUGGAAAGAAUCAUUCCAUCUACUACGACAUUUUAAAUCUAUGUGAUCAAACAGACAAGUGACGGGUAAGAUAUUGAAAUCUUGAGCGUUAAAAGAACCUUGGCUCCGAAAAAUAAGUGCAGCUACAUCUUUAUCUAUAUCAGAGGAAACAGUACCCAAUAAAAAUGAAGGAAUGCAUGAAACAAAAAAACAGGUACCUGUUUGAUAUCAUGGUCAAGCAGCGCAGGAUUCUGUGCAUAAUCUCCAUUUUUCAUCUUGGCAUCAAUUUUUUGCAAGCCAAUCACAUCUUCAUCAGGCUUAUUGACAUUGAAAGUUGCAAGUAGCAAAUCACAGAACAAGGCAAACUUCUCAGAGACUAGAAUGUCAAAGAGAGCAUUAUGGCAGAUUGCCUUGUUGGCUUCCAAUGAUGCUGCAGUUCCAUCUUCUAACUUAACUAAGGCGCCAUUGUUUGCAGCUGCAUCUUCUGCCUUAACCAAGGCACCAUUAUUCUCUAUGGCAUGUACCACUCCACUUGGGUCCUCUCUGCCUUGGCCCUCACCUAGGCUCCCCUGGUAGAUACAGAAAAACAAAAGAGAAGCUUUUGUUAGGGAAGAAGGAAACGAAGGUACUCGUUAACCAAGUUUGUUCAAUCUGAAGAACGGGAUUACUGACAUUUUCCAGGGGCUGGCAGCUAUUAUGUCUGAGUGCAUCACGAAUGCAGCUCUGAAUCCCUCCAGAGCCCUGGCUCACCGCAGGGGAUUGCAGGAGGCCCUCCAGCGUGUCCCUCCAGCUUCUCCAGUGCCUGGCGAGCAUCCGGUAGGCACCUUGCUGAGAAUUGCUGGCGUGGGGCACCAUGCUCAUCUGAUUCUGCGCGGGAAGAAAGCAGAUAAAUCUUGGGAAGCACAAGCCAUGGCUGCAAGAGGAGGACAGAGAAUUCCAGGACAACCUAGCCUAGACCAAGAAUUGCUACAUGAAAAGGGAAUCUUGGAAACGAAAUCUUGCGGCAUAGGGUAGAAACGAAAUCUUGGCGGGCUGAAGGCACCCCGAAGCCGGGCAGAUGCUCUACCAAACCAAAUCCAUCCGCCGGUAGCAAAGGAAGAAGAAGCGGGGAGGGAAAGAAGAUCCGGCUAGGGCUAGGAGGGGAAUGCGUACCUGGUCGGGGCCGGAUGCGACGGCGCUGCCCUCAGCAGGUUUGGCGCUAGUGGCGCGGCGGCGUCGCUUGUAGGUGAGGAGGUCGGUCUGGAGCAGGUCCCCCGCGGCGCGGCGCUUGGGAGGCGGGGCAAGGGGCGGGCGGCGGCUGGCGGCGCCGUCGGAGGCCAUACGCGGGGGCAAGCUAGAGCAUGCCCCAGGACCAAGAAACGGCGGCGAGAUCGGAAUGGGAAGCGCGAGGAGGAAGAGAGGUGAGGGGGCGCGAGGGGGAGGCGGGAGAGGAGUUAGGGUUUGCGGGGAAUUUUGGAGAUCUCGCGCGGCAAGCCGGGGAAGAGGAGGGGGAGCGCACGCCGGAGAGGAGGGUAAGCGCGGGAUGGAUGAAAGUGGUGCGGGAGAACCGAGCGUCAGUCCAAAUUGGAGGAGCGGGGGAAGGGAAAACCGCCAUCCCCCACCCAAAACCUCUCUCCUCUUCUUCCUGCCAUAGUGCCGUACCAUACAUUCUUAUUCAUAUUCUCUUUAGUUCAAUAUAUAUCGCCGAUUCUUACUCGGUUAGAACGAUGGUUUACCAAAUCGAUUGAACAAUAACAGAUGAUGAUUACGAUGGAAGAGAUACCAUAAUUGAUAAAUAAGUGCAGCAGCAGUUGAAGCUUUGAUCAUCAACGUAACCAGACAUUACGUAGGGCUUCCCAUGCAGUGCGGGAGUGAAAACCGCCAAAUGGUAGAGUGCGGAAAAAGAAAUUGGUGUGUAAGUUAUGCCGGUAAUUGUUACCGUUACAAAUGGACAUGUGGCGAGAUAUUAUUUUUUAAUUAAUGCCUCACGAGAAGAAUGUUUUUCCCAUAAAGUUCCCAUUUAAUAAUACAACGAUUCUUUUGUCGUCUUCGUGAUGUUUGCCCUUAAAAACCUAGUAAACAAAAGGUUGGUUUUGGAGUGACGACAAGAGACUCCUUAUUGACCAUUUUAAUUCCAGAAAGAGGGAAGAGAAUUGAUGACUAUGAGAUGUAAUAAUCAAAUAGUUGGGAACAACAAUUUAGAGCAAUUGCUCUAGCUAUUUUUGGAGCCAACCUCCCCCCCCCCCCACCCCACACCAUUUCUAAAAUAAAAAUUGAAAUUUGAAUCAUGCAAUCCUCAUAUUUGUCCAUUAACCAACCCUAAGACUUUCAUGCUUAAAAUAUGAUGUGCAAGGGUCAAGAUGUUCUAAGGUCUGCUUCUAAAAGCUUUGGGAUAGGAAACGAAGGUUGGUUUUGGAACGACAACAAGAGCUUCCAAUUUUCACCCUUUAAAUUCAAAGAGAGGGUGAGGAUCGGAUUAAACGCAAUGGCAAGGUAAGAGGUAGAAAAGUGCCUUCCACAUGCACAGUGUUGUUUUCCUUUUGAUAGAGGGCAUAGUGGUCAACAAAUUUGGAUUACAUAUCCAAACCAAGAACAUGGUGUGAGAUGGGGUGGGGGGUUAUGUCUUAGUUGCCUUUUUUUCUAUUUUGUCAUUGAUUUUUGAACAUCGGAUGCUCAUGUAAUGUACAGGAUCCUGCUGUUUCCGUUCAGUGUCCCCCUUCCUUUCCUCCCGUCAUCACCCGUCCACCAUCAUUAGUGGUCACCACCUCUCUACCCAACAACUUCCUUUUUAAGCCCAGGAUCUGCCAUGUUUCCAGGAACAUACUGUCUAAUUGGGUUAGGACAAACUAGUCUUUUUACAUCAUGUAUCGCCCCCACUGGGAUUACAAAUUCAGAUCAGAGCGCUAACAAGUGUAAGCUGCUUUGGGUUCGGUUUUGCGACUAGCCUUCCCUCCGAUUGACCUUUCAAUGGUACAAAAUGAAGGGAAAGGGUACACUAACGAUAGCGCGGGUGCGCGAUUGGGCGAGCGUCCGGGGACGUCCUGUCCCAUCGCCGGUGGUGAGUGGCUGGCGGCGCUGCGCCAAGGGGCCGCCGCGACACGCCGUGCGCGAUCACCCCCUAAUCGUGUGCAUAUGCGUUCGCGGUGGCAUGCAUAGGCAGCGGGUUUGGGACAAUUUUGCUUCAAAUUUUGAAUUCGAGCUUCAAAAAUUCCAAAUAUAAAAGUUUGAGCUGGGAUUAUAAGCUACACUUUUUACCAAAGCCAACCAGUGAAACUCUCAACAGAUUUGGAGUUUAAGUUGAGCAAAGUUUGGCAGAACGUCGGCUUGGGCUGAUUUUGAAUUUAUCCCCAAAUUUGGCUGAUUUGGAUUUAAAAUUUGAAGGCCUUCCACACAAAAUCAGUGUAAGCUCAAAUAACAAAAGUUGUUUUUUUUUAAAAGUUCCACAACUUUCAUAUUGGCCAAAAGUUAAGUUAUUAUAUAAAAUUUCAUUUUUAACUUCUACCCCCAUUUAAUGCUUUUUAGGGCAUUUUUCAACACUUAGUGAAUUUUCCACUUGCACAGUGUGCAAGGUCUCCACUGUUUCCGCUCCACUCCGAUUCAGCCCCCAAAAUGGCUGAGAGAUCGCCGGCCGCCGCUCACCACCGCUGCUGCUGGGGGCGUACCGUUGCUCUUCGACGGAGGAGACGCUCGGGUAUCUCUUGCCGGACGGAGGAACGAGGAGUGCUCCGCUUGCUUUCCGACUUCAAGCCCGAGGUUUUGCUUCGACACGAGCAGGAGGAUGAAGAGGCACCAAGGGAAGGGAAGGGACGCCCGGAGUGAGGCGGAACUCCGGCGAGGCGACGCGGAGGUGCGGGGGACCGGGUCGCCGAUCGGUAAUUUUGCAAAUGACCCUCGUGAUCCGAUUUUUUGUAAAAUACCUCUAUUAUUUUCAUUUAACCUCAGCCAUUAUUGAUCGUGAUCCGAUUAUUUGCAAAUGCACCCUAUUAUUUUCAUUUAACCCCCAGUUCGAUCCGAUUAUUUGCAAAUGCGCCCUAUUAUUUUGAUAUAGCCCCCCGGUUCAGAUCCAAUCCUGCUCUCCCGCCCUUCAGGCUCCACCAGCCGCCGCCGCCGCCGCCUUCCACCCCGCCGCCCCGCGACCGCUAGGAAGUACACAAUCCCUCCCAUCUAAUGCACAAACCCCCUGGUCGCUUAUGCCUGUGCCUAUUGCCUAAGGCACUAGAUAUCUUGCCCAGGGAGUCUCAGACCUUAAUAUGUUCAGCGUGCGUAAAGUUUUCUCAAAUUCAUGCUGACUUCAGAAUCUGUCAUGAGUAAUCAAAGUCAUUAAGUAACCGGAUUCAUCCAAUGUGAUCCCUCCAUGAGACUUGCAAGAUUAACUCUGCUUAACAUUUCAGGGACUUGAGAAUAAAAUUACUUAACUGGGCCGUUACCAGCAUUCAUUGGAGAACUAACUGCUCUGGAAUCCAUGUAAUACUCUGAACUCAAAACAGUGAUGCAGUUCCUGCAUUCAAGCAAUCUUACAUUCUUUUCCUUGUAAAUCACAAGGACUGUCGGCAUCAAUGCAUUAUCUGGACCUAUCCCAAAGGAGCUUGGAAAUCUUGUCUUUUCCUUGUAAAUCACAAGGACUGUCGGCAUCAAUGCAUUAUCUGGACCUAUCCCAAAGGAGCUUGGAAAUCUUGACUAAUGUUGAUGCUCAGUUACUAUCAUGCAUCUGUUGUUAUACUUGCCUUUCACUUGCACGAAAGUCAUGCGGCUGUAUGCAUGUAGUGUGCCUCUCAAGCAUUAUGGCAUUAUAUUGAAUAUGAUCUGAUCUCAAAAGUUAAUAUAAUAUUGUGGAAGUGAGAAUCUGAUGGAAAAAAAUGAGCAUCGUCCCCAUCAAAUAUUCAUCAGCUUUUCAAUUGCCUAAAAGUACGUAACAACACUUUGUUUUGGACAUUUCUUUGGAGCUAACCUAGUUUAAUUAAUUAUUUCUUUCAGGGCAUUGGGCUCAAACAAUUUUAACGGCACACUUCCUGAUGAGCUGGGCAAAUUGACAAAACUUAGACAAAUGUAAAUCAUCUAUUUGGUCGCUUUACAUGUCUUCAUAAUCACCUAUGCUUUCGUUACUGUUUAGAGUGAUAACUUUAUGCAUGAGACAACUGAAAAAUGUUAUCCAUCUUUGAGCUGCAGAUACAUUGAUAGUAAUGACUUCAGUGGUCCUCUACCAUCGACAUUGUCACAACUGAAGAACCUCUCAGUCUUGUAAUUUUUUAAAAUGAGAUAUCAACUCGUAAAUUUCUUCUUUCUUCUGAGGUAGAAACCAAUAAUCUUGCACACCCUUGUCAUCAUGCAUCCAGGUGGGCAUCAGACCAUAAUUUCACUGGGGAGAUACUUGAUUAUCUCGGGAGCUUGACUAACUUGACUGAACUGUAAGAUCUAUAUUUGACAACCACUAAGGUCUUAAUAUUUUUCAAAUUGUUUUCUCAACAGUAAUAGUAAGGAAAGUUAUUCAUUGUUCUGGAGAAGUGCAAGACAUUGCAUAUCUACGGAUCUACCUGCAUCAUCGGUUUCUAUAGCACAAUUACAUUUAUCAUGAGGAACUAGCUUAGGUAUUACUACUUUACUGACCAGAUAUCUAUGAAUUUCCAGGAGGCUCCAAGGGAAUAUUCACCUGAACUUAUACUCUGUUGUACAUUGCAGUUAUACUACUGCCCAGAAUGACAUCUUGGUGGCGGGCCGGUUGCUGCGGUGGGUUGGGCCGGAAGGCCGGCCUGGCUGGAAAGAGGAGCCUGCUGAUGGCUUGGGCCGGAGCGGCCUGAGAAGGUAAGGGGUGGCGGCCUGCGGGCCGGUUGCUGCGGCGGGUUGGGCCGGAAGGCCGGCCUGGCUGAAGAGGCAUGGCGAGAAGCGGGUGGAACAUGGAAUUUUUUUAUUUUUUUAUUUUUUUUACGAAUUUGUAGAAAUAUACAAUGGAAUCAAAAAUUUGCAAAAACAGGAUUAUACCGCGGCUGAAACGACGGUAGAGUCCUUGUACCGACACCCACGUGCGGGCUUAUGUUGUCAGAUGAAACGACGGUAAGGGGCGGUAGGGUACCCUGCCUGUUUGGUGACGUCGUUUCAGCGACCGAACGACAAAAGGGACCGAACGACUUGAGGAUAAAAAAAGAUCCGCCCCGGCUCUCCACGACACGGAGAGCUGACACGAUGUUGUUAUCCUCGUAUAAAAAAAGCUCCAAAGCGAGAAAAAGGCAUAAACAGGAGAGCCAUGCAGUGCGUUGUCACCGUCUAAAGGGGGUGUUUGGGAGGAGGCUAAAUUUCAGAUUUUAGCUCUCUCCUCCCAAACACCAGGGCUAAAAUGGAGGGGCUAAACAUUAGCCCCCAUAAUUCAUUAGCCCCUCCAAGAGGUGCUAAAAUGGGCUAAAGUGGGCUAAAAGUGGUCCCCUCAUACCAAUUUCCACCCCCUGCCCCCUCUCUCCUCCCCGCAUCGCCCGACUCCGCCUCGCCCGACUUCGCCUCGCCUCGCCGGCCCCACCACUGCCGGCGCCACCUCCGCCUCGCCUCGUCGGCGCCACCUCCGCCUUACCUCGCCGGCCCCGCCACCACCGCCGCCGCCUUUGCCGGCCUCCCCUCUGCCGGGUCCUGCCGCCACCGCCGGGCUCCCCUCCGCCGUGCCCCGCCGCCUCCACCUCCGCCGGGCUCCCUUCCGCGCCGGCCGACCCCAUCUCCUCCAGCCGGACCCGCCGCCUCCGCCCACCCCCGUGGCCUCCGGUGACCCCGCCGCCUCCGGCUGCCCCCGCGGUCUCCGGCGACCCACGCUUGGGAGGAUUUUGUGUGCUGUGCUGCCGAUUGCAUGAGGAAGAAGGAAGAAAAUGGGAGGAGGGGAAGGUGGGGGUAUUGUUGUCUUUUAUCCAUCAAAGUGCUAAAAUUUAGCCUCCCAUCCAAACACUUCAGGUGCUAAACUUUAGCCCUUUCAUUUGAGUAGGCUAAACUUUAGCCCCUUCCUCCCAAACAGACCCAAAGAUCCCAUGCAGAGAUCGCACGCUAGCUUUCGUUUGGUAGUGUCGUCACCAUCUAACAUCUUCAGUCUAGGAAUUUGGUGGACAACCGUUGAGCGGUAAGGCGCUACCGCCAGCUGAAACGGCGGUAAGGAUCCUACCGUCAUUUCACCCGGCGGCAUAAGUCCACUUGUAGCCAUUUUUUAUUUCACUAUAUAUUUCUGCAAAUUCAUAAAAAAAUAAAAAGUUUGUAAGAGGGCUUUGUGGAGAACUGUCCAGAAGCUGAGUGUUUCCAAAAUGUGAAGGUCUUGUGAUCAUGGUUGUAGAUCAAUGUCUUUUCUCCAAGGCAUCUAGCAGUAGGAGCGUGUAGGUGGUCAAUCAGGAGCUCUAUGAUAUAUACUCAUAAUUAGUAUCCAAACAUUCGAUGUGACAGUGUAGUAUAGUUUAGCAUGAGCAUCCAAACACGCAAAGAUGAUUGGCUUCCCACAUUUGGUGAGAUCUUACGUGAAAAGGGAGAGAGAGAGAGGAUUAGCAGUUUACACCGAGCUGGCUGAGUUGUGAAAAGCUCGGGUGUAAGUUAGAGUUAGUCAUGUUAGAUUUUUAUUAUGCUAUUUAUAUACUAGCUUUAGUUUGUAUUUUUUGAUCUAAUCCAAAAAUACAAACUUACCUUUGAGAUCUAAAUUAAAUCAAAUAAAAUCCAAAUCACUUGUGCAAGCAUGUUUUAAAUUUAAAUGCAUAAUUUAAUUACUACCUUUUUCAAUUUAGAGGAAAGAAUUGAGGGUUGACCUUAAAUUUUACCAAGUAUUUAUAUGCUUCACAUAAUCAAACAAAAAGUUUUCAUUUUUGCAAAAAUUAGCACAAUUAAUAUCACUCAAUUUUGAGGGAUAUUACACUUUUGUCAUGAUUUAAAGUUGGCCCGUGAAUAAAAGGGCUUUAGUCCCGACGCAACCCUCCAUGUCUCCGUACACACGAGUGGACUUGUUGAAUGAUCGGCUCAGAAAGAGUGCCUUGCCUUCAGGUAGUGUAUCACGAUCCGUGACUGAAACCCAUCUGCCAGCAUCGAUGUCCGCCUUGAAGAUCUUGACCUUGCAAGUGUACUUGGGGUCAAAUGGAGAUGAUUCAUCAGCAGCAUCUGCAAUUACCUUGAGGGACACUGAGAAUAGCUUCCUGUGGUACCGUAAUCCCAGAGAGUUGUGGUGCUGUAAUCCCAGAGCCGAGCGGCCACCCGCCGCUGUCGGGUGCCCACAACGAGUACUGCCUCCGGAGCUCCUGGAUCUUCGGCUGGAUCCGCUUCCACACGAACUCAACCUCCAUGAUGGGCGCCCCCACCGCGACGGGCGAUAGUGGGGGUAUGGGCCCCGCAAGCGCUGACACCGACGUGAGGAGGUGCUCAAGCUCAUAGUCGGCGGCCAUGGCGAGCAGCGGGAACGCGGGGCCUGACGGCGAGGAGGAGGAGGAGAAGCUCCUGGUGCGCGGCCAUGGCGAGCGGCGGGCGUCCGGGGGCGGUGGAUGGAGGUGGAGGAAUUGCGCAAGUGUGUGCGGGAGAAAAAAUAAAACGGGAUGAAACGAACCGGUAUGUCCGUAAUUUAUGGUAGGUGGGUAAUUUUUUACCCUAAAAUCACUUGAAAACAGGGGAAGGUGCCUUUUGUUUUGUACCGGAGCAAAAGUAACUUUUGGGCAAAAGCACAUGUGGCUUUUAGGUUAGCUUUCGACUUUUGCAAAAGUAAAACCAGGUUGAAAAACUCAAUCAAAUGUACCCUAAUAAACUUGCGGACGCAGACUUAACUAUAAAACUGUUGUGCAAGGUCUGGAAGCAAGUACACCGCGGAAUUCAAAGUAUUUCUUCUGACCAACUCGCACAGGUCAAGAGCAUAGUUCGUGGCUAUUCCAAGAAAUCGUACGAAGAUAAAACCUUUUCUUCGCUACUGUCAUCAUCAGAAUGAGGUGACAUGAUUUAGUAGCUCAUAUAAGAUGUAGGCAUGUAGCGUCUAAACGACUUUAAUAGUUCGGCAUGCACCCACCCAUCAACUUUCAGUGCUCUCUUUUGUAAGGAUUAAUUCAUUGUUUAUUGUUGGCUAAAAUGAUGACCAUGAACAUAUUCUCAAGAGUUUCUGUGCCCGUUUAAGACAUUUGAAGGUUAAAGAAAGCACCAUCAACAAGAAACAGAUUUGUAAACACAGAGGGAAGGGUCAAUCUCCCCCUACACGGAUGCAUUGAACAAACUAUUAUUGAUGCUUUGAACAAAAUCUAGUGCUGCUUGUGCGUCAAACCACGAAUUUUGGAGGGAAAAGCCAUGUCAACCACUUAUCAUCAGCCCGUAUUCUCUGCCAUGGAAGGCUAAACGGCCUGCAAGACGAGGAUCUGGUGUCGAAUACUUGGUCCACAUCCACAAAAUAUAUGCAACCCUCCUUCAUGUCUCCAUACAUACGGGUGGACUUGCUGAAUGAUCGGCUGAGAAAGAGUGUCUCGCCUUCAGAUAGCGCAUCACGACCCGUGACUGAAACCCAUCUGCCGGCAUCGAUGUUCGCCUUGAAAAGCUCGACCUUGCGAGUGUAAUCGGGUCAAAUGGAGGUGAUUGCACCUGCCGCCUCACCAUGAGCAACUCUUGGCCGCCGCAUGACUCGACAAGGAACCUACUGGUCGUGAUGUAGUCCUUGGGUUCAUACGGCACCUCCUCGUCCACCCCAACCUCGUCAUCGCUUGGAACCAGCUGGCCAUCAUCAGGAUUGAAGCUAUCAUCGCCACCACCAUCAUCGGUAUCGUAGUCGUCAUCCAUCCAGCUCCACGGGUCUUCUUCACCAUCAGCUAACGGGUGCCUGAUGACUCGCUUAAAUUUGGGAAUAAUUGGAAAUGUGCGGUAGAAUACCAUUAUGUAUCACUAGUUAGUUUCCUUUUCUUUUUGUGACGGCCCUAUCCAAAGUUCAGUUAGACAGCAAAAAAAAAAAGAGUUCUAUGUACAAUUGUUGAUUUCAGAAAAGUACAGUGAAAUGAUCACCGUUGCUCAAUCCCGGAGGCACUUCAUCCAGCGGAAAGGUGAGGUUAAGCCGGGGGUCAGUAACAAGCUCAGUAGUAUGCAGCAACAACGCUCUAAAAACAGGGGCGUAGCCGGAAACUUGAUUUUUCCAUUGUUAGGGAGGCAACAGUGGUAAAAAAAAUUUUCAAAAAUUUGAUAGAAUUCAAAAAAUAUUAGUGGAAAAUUGGAAGCCAUAGGGGGCCGUUGAGCUGUGGCGCUCAGGUUUGUUACUCCGCUUGUGGUAUGCUGACAGGAUCUCCUGUUCUCGAGACAGGCACGAGGCCAGAGCUAUACCAACUACUAAAUCAAAAAACUAUACUAGUUUCGUAAUACAAAGGUACGCAACUCUCUUACAUAUUCUCGAUAAAAAAAAGAAACUAUACAAUACCACACAUGUAGAAAGCAGGCACGGCUCAGCCGCAUGUAGCAGUAAGCAGUAUCGAUGGACGACCAUUUCUUUUUCUUUUUUUUAUCCAUUUCAUUCAUUGACCAAACUCAAUCGUGUUACUAGUUGGAAUCGAUCAGAGAAAUUGACUAGCAAUGCUAUUUACAACAAAAUACUAUCUUCAAAUGAAAAGAGAUACCAUAUAUGUUGUAUGAAAGUAAUGCAAAUGAUGGUUUGUCAAUCUAUAUAAAAUUCUAGGCAUUUCAUUCAUGGUUAAAGGUAAAGAAGAUUGGCCUAAUAGUUAUUAACAAGUCUAGAUGAACUUGUUAUUCGAACAGGAGGAAGGAAGUAGCUGGUUUCCCGAGCCAUGCGUUCACAGGUUUUCUCCAGUCAUCUGCUCCCAUGACGGCUAGACGAGCACAUGCCCAUGCCAACUUGCACUGACCAGCUCGCGACACGCUCAAACCAGCACGUAUAAAAUGCCUCCUUGUAGGGGCUUAAGCACACACAACAAUCGCUCAGCAGGCAGCAAUUCGAUCGUGUUCGACCUCCCUUCUUCAUCCAAGACGGAAUGGCGGCACCGUCGCGGCGGCCGACGCUCGCCGUCGUCGUCCUCGGCGCCUUUCUGUGCUCGCUGGCGGCGGCGCUCUCCUCCGCGGAGGCCAAGGUGCACCACCACACGUGGGACAUCGCCUACCGCCGCAAGUCACUGGACUGCUUCGAGAAGCUGGCCGUGACCGUCAACGGCGAGGCGCCCGGCCCGACCAUCCGCGCCACGCAGGGCGACACCGUCGCGGUCACCGUGCGCAACAUGCUCGAGACCGAGAACACGGGCAUCCACUGGCACGGCAUCCUCCAGCGGGGCUCGCCGUGGGCCGACGGCACCGUCGGCGUCACACAGUGCCCCAUCCUGCCCGGCGAAUCCUUCACCUACAGAUUCGUCGUCGACAGGGUGAGCGUGCACGUACGCCAACUGCUACAGCUACAACAUUUUCAUCUGAGCUGAUGAGUCAACCUAUCCGACGUACGACGUGGUUUAAUUUUAGCCGGGCACGUACUUGUACCACGAGCACUACGGGAUGCAGCGCGUCGCCGGGCUCGACGGCAUGCUCGUCGUGUCGGAGUCGGACGGCGUCGUCAAGCCCUUCACCUACGAUGAGGAGCCACCGUCCUCCUCAUGGACUGGUGGCACAAGAGCGUCUACGAGCAGGCCGUCGGGCUCGCGUCCGACCCCCUAGAGUUCGUCGGCGAGCCACAGUCUCUGCUGAUCAACGGUCGAGGAAUGUUCGGCUGCUUUCCUGCUGCUCCCGGCGGCGCCUGCAAUGCCUCGUGCGCCUUGCCGGCGCUGUUCACCGCCGUGCCGGGGAAGACCUACCGCGUCCGCACUCGUCGCUCAACUUCGAGAUCGAGGGCCACUCGAUGACGGUGGUGGAAGCCGACGGGCACUACGUGAGGCCGGUGGUCGUGGACAGCCUCUUCGUCUACUCCGGCGAGACGUACUCGGUUCUAGUCAAGGCCGACCAGGACCCGUCCCGGAACUACUGGGCCGCGUCCCACGUCGUCGGCCGCAGGCGGGAGACACCGAGCGCCCUGGCCGUCCUGAGCUACGCCGGGAACGACCCGCGGUCGCCGCCGCCAGCGGGCCCCGCGUGGGACGACGCGGCGCCCAGGGUAGCGCAGAGCAGGUCCCCCGCCGCCGCGCACCCGGACCACGUCCUCCCCGCGCCGCCGAGGCCCGACCGCACGCUCCUCCUCCUCAACACGCAGAACAGGAUCGACGGCCACGUGCGGUGGGCCAUCAACGGCUUGUCGCUCCGGUUCCCGGCGACACCGUACCUCGUCUCGAUGAAGCGCGGGCUCCGGGGCGCGUACGACGACCAGCGCCCCCCGGCGGACGCGUACGACAACUACAGGAGCUUCGACAUCGCCUCGCCGCCGGCGGCGAACGGGACGGUGGCGAGCGCGGCGUACCGGCUGGCGCUGGGGUCGGUGGUGGACGUGGUGCUGCAGAACACGGCGGCGCUCAACGGCAGGAGCGAGACGCACCCGUGGCACCUCCACGGGCACGACUUCUGGGUGCUUGGCUACGGCGAGGGCAAGUUCGAGCAGCAUUCGCUGAACAUCCUGAGAUCAGAAGAGUCUGAUCCUCUCCAAGAUCAGAAGAGUCUGAUCCUGUGGCAGACUACGCAGGUGUUAUGGCUCGCAUAGGCCGUAAAAAGAAAGCUAGCAGCAUUCGCUGAACAUCCUGAGCUUUGCCUGAAGGCUAUUUGUGCCCUCUAUCGGAAGCAAACUCAGGAGGAACAGUUGGAAAAGGCUGCUUUACUUCAUAAUAAGCAGGGAUUUAGCCACAUGGAUGCCCAUUGGUAUGUUGCUGUGCUAACUAUUUAGUUUAUUUUCUUGCAGAUUCAUUGCUAAUCAGAAGAAGCAAGGGGAUGGUUGUGGAAAUAUUCAUUUAACUAGUCUUCCUUUAGGUGAAAAAAAUGAUGUAAAGUCAUUGGGUGGUUGCAACUUCUACUGCGUGCUCUGUUUAUUUGUUUAUUUCAAUUUGGAAAGUAGUACUAGUACCUUAUUUUCGUCCAUAUGUUACUGUAGUUUUUUUUUAUAGCAAGAUACAUCACGUGGGUUGAACUGCUAAAUGUGACAAAAUUUCUUGUUACAACUUAAUAUUGUAUUAGUUUAAUACUCUGCAUUGCUACUGAGGUAUUGCCGAUAAUUUGAUGCACAUAGACACUGUAAAAUAAGUAAUUAACUAAAAAAUCUACAUAGAUUCGCUAAGUUUUUUUAAAGAUUGGUCAUCAUAACGCUCAAAAAGGUUGUCUAUGGUUUUGUUCAUCUAAAAGGUUUAGGUUGAGGACCUUGCUCAGGGGAAAUUUCAGUGCUAUGUAACUCGCACAACCAUAUUGAUGCGUUUGCUUUAGCUCCUAGUCUACUGUAAUAUUCCUCUUUAAAGAGUAAAGUAGAAUGAAAUGAUGAGCACUAAGAGAGUUUUUUCAUGUUCUUAGUCUGAUGAUAUUUUGAUUACACUGUGCUGUUCAUUGUAUGGGAUCUUGCAUAGCAGAAUUUCUUCUGGAUGGUGAUCGGGAUGGUCCACUGAAGAAGACCAUCGAUGAUUUGGAGGAGCAUGAUUCUGAUGCUCUUGGGUUCUGUCGCAGGGUGGCUUCAAAUUACUCAAAACAACUGUUUGCAAUUUAUCAGAACAAGGAGGACCCUUAGUUUCAUCCAUAGCUUUGGUAACCCGUAUACCGUAGGCUUACCUUUCGUCCCUUGUAAUGUUUUAUCAUCUGUCUGCCUUGCUGUUUUCACUCUUUUGUACAUAUGUGUUUAGUUAUUGGAUCUUCUGGAGAAGUUAGGACCGGUUAACUUUGGCCCUGAUGUCUCACUAGGAUGCUUGUGUAGCAAAACGAGUGUCCUAUCGUGUUUGUGUUCUAGUCUUGUGGAUGCUUAAGUGCCUGUGCUGCACCCCUGUUUAAUACAUCCUUGAGAGACUCUGCUUAUUCACUUGGGGGCAUGAAGCCUCCCUUCCUGCAAAUGAACAAUUACUUAAUAAUACUUCCAAAGUCAUAUGCACUUAUGAGUGCUUUUGAUCUAAGAGUUCAUGAUAACGUUUUUAUACAAGAGAUGAAUUCUAGUGUAGGUUAAAUAUUAAUAACAACUAAGGCCCAUUUGGAUUCUUGGAAUUGAAUUCCAUUCUAAUAAUCAUAAUUUAGACACAAAUUAAUUAAGUUAGACCAAUUGAAUUCUUGCACAUUUGAAUUCUAAUAAUCAUAACAACUAAGGCCCCAUUUGAAUUCUUGCACAUUACAAACAUAGCAUGAUAAUUUAAAGAAUCAAUUUACAUCUCCCACCCUAUGAAUUUAAGAUAGACUUAUAUCUAAAUUUUGAAAAGUUGUGGAAUGUCACGUUCCAAGACAAAUAGCCUACUAGAUUCCAAUUCCUUCAAAAUGAAGGGAUCCAAACGGGGCCUAAUAGAAUUUCAGCAGAGUCAUGCAGUUGCUUUUGAUGCAAAACAAUAAUAAUUGGAACACAUUGGAACACCCCCACUAAUUUACCUGGCCAAGUCCAUCGUAAGCUGCGGACGAUCAGGGGCCUCAAUGAGGUGUUAUCACGUUCUUAUUCUCUCAACCAGCUAUCGGUGGCAGUUUUUUACAAUUGUUAAAUUUUGUGCAAACAUUUAGAAAAUAAAAUAAUCUCUGUACAAUUUUGUGAAAAAUAAUACGUGCACAAUUUCUGAAUAAAUCAACUCAAGUUGUUUGGACAAUCACCAUGGAUUGAUGGAUGUCUCGCCGCCACCGGCAUCUCGUUAGCGGAAAAUGCAAGCAUCAGUCCUUGGAGACUCAAACUGGGUGGACAAGUCUACCAUAAAAAACUUGACAAAUUAAACUGCGUAGCAAUCACUAUUAUUGUUGAGAGGGUAUGUUUUUAUUAUUGUAUUUUUGUGCUAAUGGUGUUGAGUGACAGAUAGAGCUCUCUAUUUUGUUUUCUCGUAAAGAAGAAAUGGCUGUGAUCAUUAUUCAGUCAGUGGAAUCACACCUCGCAUAAGGUGCUGGUGCUGCCAUUGCCGAAACAUUUGAGAUCUCUGGGUGGUGUGGUACACACUGGUGCUGUGGCUAUCAUGUAAGUUGGUCUAAUCCACAAUCAAAAGUGAUCGAUCAACAGAGUGUUGGUUUGAGUUAUGGUACCGUCCAGAACCAUCCAGAUAUAAACUUGGAUCCUAAUCGCUCCAGUUGCUUUGAAAUCUCUUCUCUACUCUAAAAAAACGCAAAGAGGCGACGUCCCAUGCUAAACUGAUUUUGCGCCGUCAGUUCUUUUCCCGAGCACCGCCUCAAUCCCACCGCGAUCCGUGUUCCUCCGAUAGAACCCAGUACAUGACAACCUCCCUGUUUCCCUAAUCCCUAACGAGAGCUCGAGACGUCUCCCCAUCGAUCCCGCCGCCUCGCCUCCGCCAUCGAUCAUGCCAUCGUCGCCAACCCAAGCCGCCCUCCGCCUCCUCCACUCGGCACUGAGGUCUCUCAAGCCCGUCCUUCACCGCCUCCACUCAGCGCUGAGGUCUCUCGAGCCCAUGCUGCCAUCUACUUCGUCCUGGGCAAAGGAUCACCAUCAGACGAUGGGAAUUGGGAACAGGUGUCAUGGUCAAUGUCGUCGCUGUAUCGAUCCAUCCUGCAACCACAAGGAACCAAUAUAAAGGUUAAAUCUCCAGAUCAUCAUGUGAAUUUUGCCUCACCGCUCCUGCCACUUCAAUUUCUCCUUGCAUUGUUUUGUAGUGUCAAAAUAGUGGUCGAUGUGUUUAAUUUGUACCUUCUCCAGAAGCUAAAGAAAGAUUACAUACUCCAGUGAUAGAGGAAUUUCCAGGUGAGUAGGAUGAAUACCAAUUUUAUCUCCCAGUUAGGGAUUUUAAACUUUACUCCUCACCUCGAAAUUUUACAGUGAAGUUAUUUGAUUCUACUUAACCGUCGACAGCACCGACAUGCACUCAAUUUUUUAUUCAACCAUCAAUAAGACUCGGUGACUGAAUUGUAUUAGAAAUCUAGGAUCUUAAGAGCUUUCAUCUGGCGAGUGCCGCUUUUACGUGGUAGUUCUUCUAGCGAGCAUACAAUUCCUAACAUGGAUUUUUCUAAUCUAGACAGUGUGGUGCAAUUGUAUGUAAUCAGAAAGAACAAGAAAGAAUUAGUACAAUCUAAGAACUGUAAUCAUGGGUACAAUCUAAGAACUGCAGAUAUACAUAUCUUCUGAUUUAUUCUUGUGCUAUUCAGAAACAAGAACACCAACAGCUCUAAAGCAUAAAUCCAUUUUAAGUCAAUAUGCUUGUUUUUAGGUUGUGGUAUAGAUGCCCUAAAAAGGGUCAUGGGAAUCUGACAUGUCAAUUUAUAAUAUGUAAGCCCAUAUGCUCACAUGCAUCAUCAAUAUUAGUGCAGGAUGAUAUAUAUGCUCUUAUCGCCGCCCCAAUCAAAAUGAUCAUAAUCAGCUGCAUACAAAAUAAAUCUAAGAUGAGAAAAAAGAAAGAAGAUCUUUCUCACAUUUUCUAAUCCAAUCAGACAUUCGGACUAGACACUGGAAGCAACAUGCACCAGAUAUCACAUAUGCUUUUAAAAUUGUACUAUUUUGUGUUGUAUCAAGAAUUACCAACAUCACGGUUGCACAUAUGAUCGACAGAGAAGGUUCUUACAAUAAUUGUUGCCGACAGGCCUACGUUCACGCAAUCAACAGGUUUGGAAACUGUUAGCAAAAGCUAAAAGUUUGUCCUCCUGGCGUUUCAGGUUCCUCUCCUUUUGUGCAAAGACAUAAGAAGUCCAGAAUGCCAGAGAAGGGAAGAAAAAGGAGACAACAGUGAGUAAAACAUACUGCACCAAAAGUGUUUGUCCAUGGACGGAGAUGGGCUACAGUUCUAAGAAAUUCUCUUCAUGCCCGUUUCUUCUGUAUAGGAAAAGAUGUGGGGUCAAUUUUCCCAAUCUGCAAGAAGCAAAAAAUAAAAUAAAAUUAGAACACAAGAAAAGAACUAUAAGGCACAAAGGAUAUGGUUCUCAGACUCUGCAAGUCCUUGGUCUAACCGUCUUAGUGUGAUCAAUUAUCACCAAUCAGAAGUGUAGCAUAAGAAAAAAAGUUCCAUAGCUUGAAUAUUACACAAAUUCACAGAGGCAACCAUAUUUACAGAUUGUGUACUAACUUGUAAGUUACCGUAGGGAACAAAUCAUACAAAUAGAUAAAGGACGACACUUGAUAAGAUGCAUUUCAAUUUCUGGUUGAGUAAUGGAAGGAAAGAAUCAUUUCCAGUCUCAUGGUCAACAAACCUAUGCACCUUUAUAUACUGAAAGAAACUAAAAAGAAACUCGAAUUGGUGACUUUUGAAGUCCAGAAUGCCAGAGAAGGGAAGAAAAAGGAUGGCUGACCCCUUUGUAGGUUGUUGCGGUUCAAAAUGAAGCAGGCAUGCAGAACAUUUCAUUUUUCAUUCUAAUAGUGUUGUCCAACAGAUCCUUACGUGGAGCAACAAACUGUCAUGAUUCCAGAUAUCGAUGGACAUUGCUAGCAUACAACACAAACUUGAAUCACCAGUUCAAAGUACUGCAAAAAAAUGACUCUAAGACAAAAAUAAAUCAAGUCAUCAAUUGGGCUUAGUAAUGGCUAGUUGGAGCAUUGGACAAGAUAUUAUAGGUCCCAUAUGGAGGAAUGAUUACAAAACAUAAUGCUAGCACUGAAUCUGGCUCCACUAAACUCCAUUAAAGAUUUGUGCUACUAUGCUCGCUGAAAAAAUGAAUUGCAGAAACCAAGCAAUAUUGUAGCAGUGGAGUAGUGUGGGUGAGAGCUCGACAUGUGGUGGAUACAACUUUGACUCAAGUCUAUGUGUACACCAAACAAGAAGGUAAUCAUGCAAUCUAGAUGCAAUCUCGAUGAUUUCUCUAAAGGAUUCAGAAAUUCAAUUGAAGCAUUUCUUGUUAAUGCUGCAUUCGGCAGUGUCUAUCCAAUUUCCCUGAAAUCAUAUCUUCCUCUCUUCAUAUCUGAAGCAACAGGAUUUUUUUCCUUACACUUUUAAUUAUGACUGGAAUGGAACCCUCAACAUCUGUCAGGUAUUUGUCAUUUCCAGUGAUGAAGGCAAGUUUAUCAGCUGAUUUAACCACUGCCUGUAUAACACAUGGGACAACAUGGUUGAAAUCAAAUAAAUGGUUCAGAUAUGCAAUGUGUCUAUUACUUUUGCCUACAUACGAAUGACUAUUGAUCAGAAAUUCAUGCACGCACUAACUCUGAAGACAUUGAUUAAGUAGUCAAAUACCUUCUCCACCAUGAAAGAGGGCUCUCCACUCUCGGUCUUGCGCCGCCCGAUGACGGCAGCCAGCAUGCCCUCUUCGAUUACUUCAGCAUCAGUGAAAGCAAAAUCAAUCUAUACGUCAGUGAGCAGAGCAUAGUUUCAGAUGUUGUUCUUCCCGUGUUAUAAGAAGAGGUUUACAGCUGAUGGUUACAGGCGUACAUAGAACCUGGCUCGUUGGCGCCGUGUCCCCGGCGAGGAGAGGAGGAGGGUGGGCUGGUGGCGCCGGCUGUGCAGGAAGACCGUGCCGAGGAGGAGGGCGGCGCCGGCUGCGCAGGGAGACAGAGGAGAGGAGGAGGGCGGGCGAGGCCAGUUGCGCAGGGAGAGGAGGAGGGCGGCGGCGGCGGCAAAGCAGGCAGAGCGAGUCGAGGUCAGGCAGAAUGCGGGCGGCGGCGGCGUUGCAGGCCGAGCGAGCCGAAGUGAUGCGGAUUGCGGGUGGCGACGGCGAUGCAGGGCGAGGGAGGAGGAGUAGGCGAGCGAGGGGAACAUCGGAUGGCGGAGCAUGAAGCGUGGGGCUGGAGGAGGAGCAGCGGACGGCGCGCGUCGUGGGCUUCGAAGGGUGUUCCAUUGGAGAGUGGACCGGGUUGCGCGGAGGAUGCGGGAGCCAGCGGACGGUUGAACGGAGCGGAGGAUAAACGACAUAUGAAGAAUUUUCUUCUCUUUGGUUUUUUUAGGAGUAGAGAAGAGAAGAGAUAGAGAAGAGAUGGUUUUUUUAGAGUAGAGAUAGAGAAUAUUCGGUCUAUACGUAUGUAUUGCCAUGACUUAGAGUUACUUAUGGGUAACUAGGUUAUGUUUCUUGGUUAUAUCGGUCGGUGUUUUCAAUUUGCUUUUUUUAUCCCGAUUGUUAUCAACACGUUUACCUGUGAACUGGUUCGGUUUGGAUACCAAGUGAAUUCGUGUUCAUUUUCAUUUUCGACCAUCUUUUUAUUAAGUUUAUUGCAAUUAGGCUUGGAUGCUGAGGUAGCUUGGCUUGGCUCGUUAGCCUAACGAGCCAAUACCAAAUGAGCAAAAUGUUUGUCUCAACUCGGCUCGUUAGUAGCUCGAGCCACCUUGUUAGGCUCGCGAGUGAGAUGUUAAUUUGGGAUUACCAUCUCAACGUAUAGGAAAUGUAAAAAAAUAGUAAUUAUAUAGUAAAAUCCACCAUGAGCACUUCGGCUAGCUCGGCUUCAAUAGCUCGACUCACUAUGUUGAGCCUUUAGCCUUCUAGCUGGCUAGCUCGCGGCUCGCGAGCUAGCUUGAACUAGCUCAUUACUGAAACGAACAAAGUAGCUGCUCCGUUCAUUAAAACAUCCACCGAGCUAAGCCGAGCUACGAACGAACUGAGCCACGUUAUGAAUAAGAUUAUUUCUCAUAAUUUUAAUGGGUUUAAGGCUUAUUUAACAAUAAAUUUUGGAAUUUUUAGAAUUUUAAUGUAUUAUUUUCAUUUUAGGUGAUGCCAC